rnacentral:lncRNA from 1 species
AUAAACCCUAGGUUAAACCGAAAGUAAACCGAAACCCUAAAUCCUAGGUUAAAUCGGUUUAAUAAACCCUAAGUCACGGUUUAGGAUCAAGUUUCCCAUAUAAGGAAAGUUUCCAGAAAUAGAAAGUUUCCAUAAAUAGAAAAUCUCCAUAAAUAGAAAGUUCCAUAUAAGGAAAGUUUCCAGAAAUAGAAAGUUUCGUAAAAUAGCAAUUUUCCCAAAAUAAAAGGUUCCCUAAAAUAGCAAGUUUCCCAAAAUGGAAAGUUACCAAAAUAGGAAACCCCUUCAUAAGGAAAUAUUCCAAAACCCUAAAGUACACGUUUGUUUAGGAUUUCUUUCUAGAUGAGAAAUAGAAAGUUUCCAUAUAAGGAAAGUUUCCAUAAAUAUAAAGUUUCACACAUAAAACCGAAACCCUUGAAAAAACCCUAGUACUAUAAAUCGCGGAUGCUAAAACCCUAAAACUUAACCGCGAAAUCCUAAUAUCCUAAUCUAGUAUGAUCCGAUUGUUUGGUUGUUGCAUACUAGAUCAAUCUUCUAGGGUUGAUUUCAUCCAUAUAUAUAUAUAUAACAUGAUUGUUUAGAAAACACUUGCUGAAGACAAGCAUGGUUCGGUCUUAAAUACCGCAUGACUUGGUCUAACCGAUUACAUGAGUUCUCAUUUAACUCUAUAUAUUAUAGAUAUCAGAAAUCAACUAUUAUGAAUACACGGCACUCAAUGCCUCUGGUGACAAUUAUUUAAAAUAGGCUUUGGACACUGAGAUUGUCCUAAAGGAAAAAGGGCUUGGUGAAUCUAUUAUGGAAUGAAACAAUGUCACAAGAAGAGAAAGAUAUAAGGCGAUUACUGACAUACGCCAUCACCUCAAUGAGAGUCUCAAAAUCAGUACCUCACUAUUAAGAAUCAUCUAGACCUCAGGACAGAGUUGAAAACAAAAAAAAAAAAAUAAAAAAAUAAAAAAUCCAAUAUAACCACCAAAGAACGGUGCUAUUACCCAAAAGCCCGAUUCGAUCGGGAGAAUCUCAGAUUCCAGGAAUUCAAAUCCAUGAAUGAGUAUAACUCAGCACUAUUUAAAAUAGUGUCAAUACUGAGAUUCCGUGGUGAGGAAGUUACUGAGAAUGACUUGCUAGAGAAAGCAUUCUCGACCUUUCACACAAACAAUAUAUUGCCUCAGCAACAAUAUCGUGAAAAAGGUUUUUACCACAUAUGCAAGUCUAAACUCUUGUUUUUGGGGAGGACUCCUCUGUAGAGAGUGCUAAGGACGAAAAUCGAAUGCCUCCCUAUUCAGAAGAAAAGAUAUCUCUAUAUAAUAUUACCGAAGUACCUUUAAAGAAAUAAUCUUGUCUUUGUAAACUAUUACUUACGAAUGCCAUUAUAAAUAAAAUUUGAAAGACGAAAUUAAUAAAGCUCAUUUAGGAUAAACAACUCAUUUUACAUAAUAUCCAUUUGUUUUCCAAAUCCUUAGCAACCUACAUAAGAUUUUCGUAACAAAUAAACCGACCACUUUUUUCUAUACGUCAUAUACAAUAUCUUAUGUGAUCUCUCUGUUACCAAUAUCACUUAUUUUCCUGUUUUGCCAAUAUACCAAAAUAUUUGCUUUACCACCAUUAUCGUAAAUUCAUCCAAAACAAGAAAUUCUAAGAUUUAAUUUAUAACAAUUAUUCCUUAGUCAAGCAAUUAAGAUUUUUGUACAAAUUAGAAUUGACGUCAAAUCUCUCCAAACACACACUGAACGGUCUGCAUCAACAUGAUGAUUUAUGAUACUAUAAGAACCCUAUCAAAUGAACAUAUUUAACAUAUAUUCAAAAUACUAUAUUUUUUAUGAAAUAUAAAAUAUAAAAUUCGUAUAAAGCUAAAACUAUCCUAACUAAAAUCCGUUUUAGUUUGAAAUCAAUAUUUCGUAUAAAAGUAUUAAUAUCUAAUACACUAUUACAACCGUAAUAUUUUUUAAUACAACUAAACAUAUUGAAUAACAAUAUAAACUAUUAAACACAAGGAAAAAUGGCCAAAAUCAAUCCCAGCUAUUUCUAUGCGGUAUUUUUCAACCCAAACUCGGAUCUCCUACACUUAUCAACCCAAGCUCACAUAAUUUUUAAAUAAGAAACUUGAACUAUGUAACUGUUAGCUAAUUUUAACAUAGUUUUUAUUUGUAUGAUUAAAUAUCGAUUAGAAUUGUUAAGUCGUAAUUAUCUAUUCUUUUGUAUAUUAAUCGUUCCUUUUAUUCAAAAUAAAAUAAUCAUAAUUAGUGUAACACUAUAAUGAUAUAUCUUUAAACUUUAACUAAUUUCCAUAUAUAUAUUUGUUGGGGUCGGAUUCCAUCCUUUGGCGCCGAGCCAGACUUAGAGCACCCCGGGAGUCUUUCAGUGAUCACCUCGGGGCAUCGCAUCAUCCACCUCGGGUUAUCCAUCUAAUCAGUUUAGGGUACCCGAGCCCAUCGCCUCGGGGAUACCCGAACGAUACGUCUUGGGGUACCCGAGCCCAGUUGCCUCGGGGGUACCCGAGCCCAGUCGCCUCGGGGUACCCGAGCCCAUCGCCUCGGGGUACCCGAGCCCAUCGCCUCGGGGACACCCGAACAAGUCAUCCUAGAGUACCCGAGCCCAGUCGCCUCGGGGUAUCCGAGCCCAUCGCCUCGGGGACACCCGAACAAGUCAUCCUAGAGUAUCCGAGCCAGUCCUUCCUGUGUACCCGAGCCGAUUGCACAAGUUUCUCCGAGGCGAAGUCUUCAUCAUCACCCGAGGUAAAGACUUAGUAAAUAUUCGUCUUCAAAGUAUCAUUUCCAAGCAAGGCAUCAUUUCCGAAAAAGAAGGAUCAUUUCCGAUAAACCCGUAAAUGAUAAAGAAGAAUCACGAAGGAUCAACUCAAAUCAGGAAAUCUUCCAAAAAAACUCCGAAGAAUAAGGAAACUAUCCUAAUCCGCGAUAUUCUACGCCGACUUCAAGAUAAAUGGAAAUCUUCCGAGAAUAUCGCUGGAGAGGCGGUUUAUCACCCCUACAUAAAGAGACUCAAGGCUCUCGCAGAAGGCAAGCAAUAUCGCUCCAGAAUUUACUCUACACAAAGCUCAUAAGCACAAACACCUUUUCUUUUUACGAUCAAACUCUUGUACGAUCAAAACCAUCUUUUUCUUAAUAAAAUCAAGAACACCAUCUUUGGUUUCAAUCCGUUCUGUUGUUCUUUGAGUUCAAGUUUAUUUUAUCCCUAAAAUAAAACCCUAGACAAAUCUUGAUUGUGUUAGUUUUGACUUCCACAGUUUGGCGCCGUCUGUGGGGAUACUUUAGAAUUCUCUUACCCUAAGACGCAGAACUCGGUUACCGAAGAACGAUGAACGAAGACGGUCGUCAGACACCACCAGUCGGAGGAGGGAACCCUAACCCUCUGAACCCUCAGAAUCCUCAGGUCGAUCCGGCAAUCUCAGCGACCCUAGCCGAACUGAAGGAUAUGAUGGUUAAAUUCCAGAAGAAAGCUGACGACCAGGAGAAAGCUAACAAGACUUUGGCGCAGCAAAUCGAGGAAAUCACAUCCCGUGGGCAACACAUAACCGCGCGUUUCCAGACUCGUCCGCUACGAGCCCGGAGGGACUUGCCUGGCAUCAACCCAACAAGGCUUACGUCGCGACGCCAACUGACAACACCAGAGCCGCAAGCCGAGCCGAUCCUGCCCGACGCUAGAAUCAAGAUGAUCCCACCGAACCAGACGCAGUGGACCUAACGGACGAGCCGGAUAAUCCGCAAGGCGAGCGUACCCGAACCGGAGCUAACUCUGUCGAACGGACCGAUCUCACUGAUGACGAAGAAACUGAGGAAAACAUAAGGUGGGCCGAAGAGUCCGAAAGAGAAGACGAGCUUAGCAAGAUCCGAGCCUCCCUAGCCAAGGCGGAAGCUGACAUGAAGCUCGUCAAAACCCAGAUACAUAGCAUUUCAUCCUCUGCACCUAACAUCGACCGAAUUUUGGAGGAAUCUCGGAAUACGCCUUUCACCAAAAGAAUUUUCGAAACGAUAAUGUCCAAUCUGGGGAAGUUCAAAAUCGACACUUACAACGGAUCAACCGACCCGAAGUGUCACAUUAAGUCAUUCGUGAUAUCCGUGGCCUGAGCCAGGUUCAAGCCCGGGGAGAAGGAUGCUGGUCUAUGCUUACUAUUCGUGGAACACCUCAAGGGACCCACAUUAGAGUGGUUUUCAAGAUUGGAACGAAAUUCGAUUGAUAGCUUCGAUGAGCUGUCGACACUUUUCCUUAAGCAGUAUUUCGUGCUCAUCGACCCCAGAACGUCCGAUGCAGAUCUGUGGUCUCUGUCUCAACAGCCCACCGAGCCGUUAAGAGAUUUCCUCAUAACUUUCAAAUCGACGCUAGCCAAGGUCGAAGGAAUCACAGAUGUAGCCGCCAUUUCGGCUUUGAAGAAAGCUCUCUGGUACAAGUCAGAAUUCAGGAAAGAGCUGAACCUUUCAAAACCAACAACAAUUCGCGACGCAUUACACCGAGCCUCGGAUUUCGUCGCCCAUGAAGAAGAGAUGGCGCUGCUAGCAAAGAGGCACGAGCCGACGAAACAGGCGGGACGAAUACGCAUCACGAAGGGCGCAAUUUCUCUGGAUACCAUAACUACCAGAUUGAGGAGGAAGAGAGUCCUUCACUUGGACAAGGUAUCAGCCACCAAGCAAUGAUCAAGAAUAUUGCGAGCACCACAAAAUCUUCGGCCACCACACCUCGAGAUGCCGAAGCCUCGGCGCUAAGUUAGCAGCCAAAUUCCUAGAAGGGGAGCUCGGAACGAGUGUCACGCUUAAAGACAUCGAGCCAGAGCCAGAGCCCGAACAGACCAUAAUGGGUGGAUCGCCAUACUGUCCUGACACCGUAGCGGCAAUCAAAGCUUAUCAACGCCGAGCCGAGACGCCUAGCAACUGGACCAGACCUUUUGACCGACCUAACGACGUGAUCACAUUCGAAGUGAUCACAUUCGAAGAAAGCGAGACGAACGGGCUCGACAUGCGUCAUAACGAUCCAAUCGUCAUCACAUUAGCGAUAGGAGAGCAUGAUAUUUACCGAGUAUUAAUUGACACCGGCAGCACCAUCGACGUGAUCUUUCGCGAAACGCUCCGACAAAUGAACAUCGACAUGUCACAGGUAACUCCGACCCCGAGGCCAGUCCUCGGGUUUUCAGGAGAAACUUUAAUGACGCUUGGAACCAUCCAAUUACCAGUCCGAGCCGGCGGGGUGACAAAGAUAGUCAACUUCUCGGUCACCGAUCAACCUACCAUCUACAACGUCAUAAUGGGAACGCCGUGGCUAAAUCUAAUGCGAGCUGUCGCAUCAACGUAUCAUCUCUGUGUCAAAUUCCCGACCCCCAAUGGAGUGAAAACGAUUUGGGGAAGUCAGAAAAAUUCACGGAUGUGCUUCAUGGCAGCACACAAGCUCCGAAACCCGGUCACUAAAGCUAAGGCCGAAGCUGACCACAAAAAAUCGAAACUCGGCCGGAGCGAAGAGAAGGCUAUAUCUAAACAGUUAUAGCAGUUACAGAUCGAGGAGGCACGCGAGGAGAAGAAGCCUACCUCGGAUCCUGUAAUCUCCAUUAGCCUCGACGAGGAACAGCCUGAACGGUGCGUGGAAAUCGGCAGCAACUUAACCGAGGAGAUCAAGACUGAGCUCAUCUUAUUCCUCAAGGAGAACAUUAACACCUUCGCCUGGUCGGCUGAAGAUCUACCUGGAGUAAGCAUCGACGUAAUCUGCCACGAGCUGAAUGUUGACCCAUCUUUCAAGCCCAUCAAGCAGAAGCGAAGAAAAUUGGGUCGGGAUCGCGCGGAUGCCGUAAAUGCAGAAGUAGAAAAACUCCUGAAGAUCGGUUCAAUCUCCGAAGCAAGAUAUCCAGACUGGUUAGCGAAUCCCGUCGUGGUUAAAAAGAAGAACGGCAAGUGGAGAGUUUGCAUCGACUUCACCGAUCUGAACAAAGCUUGUCCUAAAGACAGUUUUCCGCUCCCACAUAUCGAUCGUUUAGUAGAAGCAACUGCGGGAAAAUGCUUGGCUUUCUACGAUACUCUGCGCGGGAACAAGAAAUUGGAAUGGACUGAUCGCUAUGAAGAAGCUUUCCAGGAACUGAAGAAGUAUCUGGCUAAUCCACCGGUCUUAGCAAAACCAGUGCCGGGCGAGCCAUUAUUCCUGUACAUCGCGGUCUCGGAUACAUCGAUAAGUGGAGUCAUAGUCAGGGAAGACAGAGGAGAGCAGAAGCCGAUAUUCUAUGUCUCGCAAACUUUCACCGACGCAGAAACACGCUACCCGCAAACCGAAAAGCUCGUUCUCGCCGUAGUAAUGUCAGCUCGGAAGCUACGGCCAUAUUUCCAGUCUCACUCAAUUGUCAUCAUGGCACCCGUGUCGCUUUGAACUAUCUUGCAUAGCCCGAGUCAGUCGGGACGCCUGGCCAAAUGGGCAGUAGAACUCAGUGAAUACGACAUUGAAUACAGGAACAAAACAUGCGCAAAAUCUCAGGUCCUCGCCGACUUUAUCAUCUAGCUGCCAACAGAAAACGCCCGAGAAGAGUUGCCCGACGCUGUUUGGAUCCUCCACGUCGACGGAUCAUCCUCAAAACAAGGCUCUGGCGUCGGAAUCCGCUUAGCAUCACCAGAGGGUGAGAUCCUCGAACAAUCUUUUUGGCUAAAUUUCGACGCGACUAACAACGUGACAAAGUAUGAAGCACUGAUAGCAGGACUUAAGCUAGCUCGGGGACUUAAGAUCAACAAGCUGCGAGCCUUUUGUGACUCCCAGCUCGUGGCCAAUCAAUUCAAUGGAGAAUACGCGGCUCGUGACGAACGAAUGGAAGCAUAUCUUGCUCUCACGCAAGACUUGGCAAAACAGUUCAAAGAGUUUGAGUUAACCAGAAUCCCGCGAGGUGAGAACACAUCAGCCGAUGCCUUAGCGGCUCUAGCUUCAACUUCCGACCCAAAUCUGAAGAGAAUCAUACCGGUUGAAUUCAUCGAAAAGCCGAGCAUUGAAGACAGUAGCAAGGAUCAAGUUCUAACAGCUCGGGAGACGGAAGAACCGGAAGAAAUGGACAUCGAACCGCUAGACCAGCAAACUACAGACGCAACCGAGCCCAAAUACGGAAGCGACGCCAAAUGGAUCGGAGCCAUCCGAAGUUACAUAGCAGAUGGAGAAGUUCCUGCAGAAAAAUGGGCGGCUCGGAAGCUUAAGGCAAAAGCGGCGCGAUAUACCCCGAUCGACGGAGAACUCUUUAAAUGGCGAUUCUCCGGACCCCUCCUUAUCUGUGUCGAAGGAAACGAAGCUCGGAGAGUCAUGGAAGAAGUACACGGCGGAUCUUGUGGGAAUCACUCUGGCGGAAGAGCCCUAGCCGUAAAGAUCAAACGCCACGGGUAUUUUUGGCCGACGAUGGUCAAAAGACUACGAAAAGUUUUCUCAACGAUGCGACAAAUGCCAGAGGCACGCACCAACCAUUCAUCAACCCGCCGAGCUCCUCUCUUCCAUCACCUCGGCUUACCCCUUCAUGCGCUGGUCCAUCGACAUUAUCGGAUCUCUACACAACUCCAAGCAGAAGAAACUCGUCCUCGUGCUAACAGACUACUUCUCCAAAUGGAUCGAGGCUGACUCCUAUGCCAGCAUCAAAGACGCAAAGGUCGAGAACUUCGUCUGGAAGAACAUCAUAUGCCGCCACGGGAUACCUUACGAGAUCGUUACAGACAAUGGGUCACAGUUUAUUUCGGCUCGAUUCGAGGGAUUCUGUGAGAAAUGGGGAAUUCGCCUCAGCAAGUCUACGCCUCGGUAUCCUCAGGGAAACAGACAGGCGGAAACAGCAAACAAAACGAUUCUCGACGGAAUAAAAAAGCGCCUCGACGCGAAGAAAGGCCGCUGGGCCGACGAAUUGGAAGGAGUACUAUGGUCGCAUAGAACAACGCCGAGGCGUACCACGGGGGAAACACCUUUUGCCCUCGUCUACGGUACAGAGUGUGUGAUUCCCACCGAAGCCGAGAUCCUGGGAAUAAGAAGACGUUUGCUCCCCGAACAGGAAAAUUCCAACACUCAGAUGAUGCUGGACGAACUGGACUUAAUCGACGAAAGAAGAGAUUCGGCUUUGGUCCGUAUGCAGAACUAUCAGAAUGCUACAGCCCGGUACUACAAUUCUCACGUUAAGCAUCGCCGCUUCCACGAAGGAGAUCUCGUACUGCGCAAAGUUUUCCAGAAUACUGCCGAACAGAAUGCUGGUAAGCUUGGCGCAAACUGGGAAGGACCUUACACGAUCGCAAAGGUGAUCCGUCCCGGCGUCUACGAACUCAUCGACAUGAACGGCAAAGCGGUAUCUAGAUCCUGGAACGCAAUGCAUCUAAGGAAGUAUUAUCGCUAAGAACCUAAGGUACGCAUGUACUUGAACUACGGGGUGGCUUGAUCCCUGAAAAGGGUACGUAGGCAGCUCGUCCUCGGACGAGUUCAGCUACCCCCCCUAAUUAAAAAAGGGGGGGAGUGGGUCCGUAUACAUAUACUCCCACUAAAAUUUUCAAAUUCUCUAAGUUUUUACCCUUCGGAUUUUCAAUUUUAUCCACCUCGACAUCUAUCCCAAAAUUCAUCUCGGGAACCUUUACGGUUUUCUUAUCGACCCACAAAGCCAACAGUUCGUUCGGACGAUGGCCACAUCCACGAACAGAGAGCUCAUUUCACCGCUUUGGUUACAAUGCGUUAUAUAAGCAUUCAAGACAAUUCGGUCGGAGAUAUCUUGCCAAAGAAAUUGUCUUCAGAAAACCCAGUCAACUUCGACACUGGUACCCCAGUUCGCUUCUAAGCACUGGCAUCGACUAUGUCAGCUCGGGUCGCAACCGAUAAAGAUUAGUCCCACGUGAUCGAAACCUAGUUACUUUAAUACUGGUACGUUACUCAUCGUCACGGUUCGGAAGUUAGCUUCUACUGAACCGAAAGUCAUUUCCACCGAAACCCAAUAACUGACAUUGGCGCAUAUUUCGUUUCCUCGGCUCGGAAGUUAAAACGUUUGAAUUUAACUUCUCAACGAGCAAAUCAUAAACCCAGUUAACUUAACACUGGUGCACGAUUCUUUUUGUUUUUGGCUCGGAAGUUAAAAUUAUUAGGAAAAAUUUUUAACUUCUCAACGAGCAAGUCAUAAACCCAGUUAUUUGACAUUGGUAUCGGAUUCAGUUCGGAAAUAUUUUAAGAUAAAAGUACUUCUAACAUAAUAUUCAGUGGAUAAAGCCGUCCAGUCAUGUCUUACAAAAAAAAAAAAAAGACAUCUCGGGAUCAGAUCGAAUCUUGGUUAACCGGUGAAACUUGAGCUACCUCGGUACCUCGGUUCAAACCCGUCUGGUCGGCAACACCUAUCGCAGCCGCGGCGCCCUCGAUCGAUCGGUUCCCGAAGCUAUCAUUGACAGAGUCCGGGGAAACCGAAGGAAGCUUCAAGUCCUCUCGCAGCUCGGUCCCGAGACGGACGUACUCAUCCUCGGCAUCCCCAUACUCAGCCGUCCAUUGAAGGACCUCGGCCUUCUCAUCCUCCACCUUUUUCCCUUCUUCCAUCUCGGCUAUCAGCUCGGCAUUGGCCCGUGCUUGCACCAAGUACAUAUAGGGCGUGGAUACCUUCCCGUACUGAUCCAUCUUCGCCUCGAUAGCCUUGACCUUCUCGGCAAACUCCCUUCUGGCUGCCCUCCGUUCCCUGACAAUCUCCUUCUCCCAGAGAGCCUUUUCUUCGGUAAAUAACCGAUGGAGGCGUGCAAUCUCGGCCUCGAGCUUUCUCUGAGUCCGCAGGAUAUCCUUAGAAGCUUUCAAUCGCUCCACCUUCUCGGCCUUGGCUAACGCCUCAGCUUCCUGUUUAGCCGUGAUCGCCUCGGAAAACCUAGCCUCGACCUCAGCUCGGGACAUCUCCGAUCUCUCACGAGCCAGCUCGGACUUCCGAGCUCCAAAAUCAUAGGCUCGAACCAUGGAAUUCAUCGAGUGGAAGGCCUGAAAUGGAACGAGAAUCAUUAGCAAACAAAUAUGGAAACGAUAGUAAAACACGUCAGGGGCAGAUCGAUACCUUCAGAAAUCCAUCAGUGGUUUCACGGUAGUUUUGAGCCUCCAGCAAGGCCUCGGGAGCAAACAGUGGUGGACCCGAGCAAGAAGCAACAAAAUUCGCCGAAGCAACCUUGUCCUUGUACACUGGAGUUUCACUACGACUCCUCUUCUCCUUCCUAGAAACUCCCGAGCCAUCACCUCGGGGUCUUUUUCCCCUCGGUUUGGAUUUCGCCUCGGCGACUGGAGCAACAACAACCAGAGCCCCUACCACCUCGGGGACACCGGUCGUAGGAGAGAUAUGCCCGGCCACCUCGGGCACGAUCGAAGCCAUAUCCCGAGCUUCAUCAGUCGCCUUGGCACCAUCGACGACCUCAGGGCUGGCCUCGGGAGGAGUAGGAGGUCUGAAGUUUGCCUCCAAAACCGCUCUUUCCUUAGCCGCCUUCUUUUCGGCAGCUUUCCUGGCUCUCAGAGACUGCGCAACGCCCUGCAUUUCAAUAAGAUGAUCUAAACGGUGGUCGGAAGACUCUGAAGACGAACGACAAGGGGCUCCGUGCAACAAUCGCAAGGCUCUCUCAAUUCUAUCUCGGGAGAAAUGCUUCGUCCAAUCGCACUUCCGAGCUAUCAGUUCGUCGUGCAGAUCUAGGAAGCCCUCAGGAACGUUCUCGAGAAAUGACGGGUUCCGAUCUGCAUGAACAAAAAAGAAUAAGAGUCAGUAAAGGUUGAAAUAAAACAAAGUAGCGAGAACGACUUGGGGCGUAAAUACCAAUUUUUCUACAUUUCCCAACAAAUUUCCCUAAAUAAUCCUCAUGGACACUAUACUCGUCCAAAGCUACGUAGAAGAAGUGAUCAGUAUACUUCUCAUCCUUGCUCGGGAACCCGCCUAUAACCCUCCUAUUCGGCCUCAAGGAUAUGUAAAACCUCUCUGCAGGGCCUGGUAUGCGACGGACCUCCAGGAGAUUCCUUAGGUGACUAAGGUCAACGAUAUUGACCGUCUCGAUACCUCGGACUAAAAUCCCCACUAGAUGCCGCAGGCCUCGGGUCGUUAUCUGGGAUAGAGCAAUCUUGUACGACCACAGAAACGCCAAAAUCGGCCUCGGGAUUAGAAGCCAAAGGUAGCAAUGGUAGAAGAACCCCUCAUAAAGGGUGAAAAACCCCUCGGGCGGAUCAUCUGCUCGCUCGUUCGGAGUUGGAAGGCUUAGUUCAAUCCCCUCGCUAAAACCAAACCAGGCCUUGAGAUCCCGAAGGGAAUCCUCCGUGCAUAAGGUGGAACCCGGGGGAUCGGGUUUCCUAGCUUUCUUGGCUCGUUUUCUCUUCUGUUGACCCUUGGCUGCUUGAACUUUAGCUUGAAGCAACCUGGCCGCCUCGUCAGAGUCAUAAUGAACCUCCUCGGCCUUAAUAGGAAGUAGAGGCGCCUCGGGGGCAUUUUCCCAGCAUGAGACUCCAGCUUCACCAACUGCCGGUGGAUGGACCCCCCUCCUAUUCAAAAUCGCCUCGGGAUCAUCAGGCAAAUCCUGAUCCCUAGCCACAUCUGCAAUCGUGUCUUCUCGAGCAAUGAAACGGCUCGGGUCUUCUUCCCGUGAAGCCGACUCUGCAUCACUGCCACAGUACAACUCGAUCUGACGGUCCGUGGUGUCCGCCUCGGGGUCACUCGAAGAACUCCAGACCAUCUUUCUCUUGUAGACAGGGAGAAGAGUGUCGCCUCGGGGCAAAUCACUGGAAUCAGAAAGAGACAUUUUCUGGCUCGGGAAAUUGAAGAAGUUGAUCGGAGGAACAAGGUUUGGCAGAUCGGAAAAAUCAACCUAGAUCUAAUAACGGUGGCGCUACAACGGAAGUAUAACGGAAAAAAUAUAAAAUGGAAGAGCUCAAGAUCAGAGAGAGAAGAGAACGAACCUUGAAAAUUUUCCUUUGCACUUGCGAAAUGAGAGAAUGAGUCGGAGACUUAACAUUUAUAGGGAUUUAGGGCGCGUCGGGUACGAACGAGCUGAAUAAAACACAUCGUGUCCGCAUCUAAGGCGCGUCGGGCACGCGCGAAUUGAAUAGGAUACUUCACAUCCGCACGAAUCUCGGGAAUCAGCGAAGGACCUUUUCACUUCUUGAGAAGGAAUCCCAACCGUCACAGGCCAAGAGAAGAUGAAACGACAGAGGAAUUCGAAUCGCCAAAAACUUUAAAAGGACCGGACUGUCCGAAGUAAACGGCUCGGCCCAAUCGUCAUAAAGCUCGUCACGCUUGGUUCUCCAAACUAACAAGCUGGGGGGCUAACUGUUGGGGUCGGAUUCCAUCCUUUGGCGCCGAGCCAGACUUAGAGCACCCUGGGAGUCUUUCAGUGAUCACCUCGGGGCAUCGCAUCAUCCACCUCGGGUUAUCCAUCUAAUCAGUUUAGGGUACCCGAGCCCAUCGCCUCGGGGAUACCCGAACGAGACAUCUCGGGGUACCCGAGCCCAGUUGCCUCGGGGGUACCCGAGCCCAGUCGCCUCGGGGUACCCGAGCCCAUCGCCUCGGGGACACCCGAACAAGUCAUCCUAGAGUACCCGAGCCCAGUCGCCUCGGGGUACCCGAGCCCAUCGCCUCGGGGACACCCGAACAAGUCAUCCUAGAGUACCCGAGCCAGUCCUUCCUGUGUACCCGAGCCGAUUGCACAAGUUUCUCCGAGGCGAAGUCUUCAUCAUCACCCGAGGUAAAGACUUAGUAAAUAUUCGUCUUCAAAGUAUCAUUUCCAAGCAAGGCAUCAUUUCCGAAAAAGAAGGAUCAUUUCCGAUAAACCCGGAAAUGAUAAAGAAGAAUCACAAAGGAUCAACUCAAAUCAGGAAAUCUUCCAAAAAACUCCGAAGAAUAAGGAAACUAUCCUAAUCCGCGAUAUUCUACGCCGACUUCAAGAUAAAUAGAAAUCCUCCGAGAAUAUCGCUGGAGAGGCGGUUUAUCACCCCUACAUAAAGAGACUCAAGGCUCUCGCAGAAGGCAAGCAAUAUCGCUCCAGAAUUUACUCUACACAAAGCUCAUAAGCACAAACACCUUUUCUUUUUACGAUCAAACUCUUGUACGAUCAAAACCAUCUUUUUCUUAAUAAAAUCAAGAACACCAUCUUUGGUUUCAAUCCGUUCUGUUGUUCUUUGAGAAUUCACGUUUAUUGUAUCCCUAAAAUAAAACCUUAGACAAAUUUUGAUUGUGUUAGUUUCGACUUCCACAAUAUUUUCAUAAAUAAUAAACAAAUUGCCUUCCAUUUUUAUUGGUUGACAAUAAAAACAGUGAAAAUAGAACUAAAUCUAAAAAAAAUAGAUGAUAAUAACCUUAAUUUACAAAGGCCUAGUGGAACUAAACCAUGUUCUUUUCAAAAGUUUUUUUAAUUAUUAAAAAAAAAAUUCCAUAACAAUUCAAAUAUUCUCGCUUCUUCAUUUCUUUUAUUUUUUAAAUGAAGGAAAAUCAUUCUAAAUAAAAACUGGAAAAAUGAAAUUCAAAAUAUUUCAAUUCAUUUUGAGGCUUUCACUUUUAUGAAUAAGUUUUUUUUUUCUGUUAGAGAGUUUUAGAUUUAAAGCAUGAGAACUAAACUUUGUUAGAUAUAUAGUUCACCUCAACCUCAUACUUGAAAUAAAGCUCUUAAAACUAAGUAUAAACUAAGAAUAAAUUUUGAAAAAACAAAAAAAAAUCUAAGCAUAAAUUAAGUCUCACAUAAUAUAUAAAUUCCUUCUAAAUUCAGGAUCUCUAUAUACUCCCUCUGUUUUUUAAAAGUUGUCGUUUUAACUGUAUUUGGACAAAUUAAGAAAAUGUAUACAAUGACUAUAUUAACCUCAUAAAAAUGACAAGUAAUUAUUUACAAAUAAUUUGUGUUCAAUAAAAUGAGAGUAAUUUGGGUAGUUAUUGGCAUAAAUUACAUUAUUACCUUAAAACGACAACUAAUUUAAAACAAAAAAAGCUCUAAAACGACAACUAUUCGAAAACGGAGGGAGUAUGUAGUAUAGUCAUUUUAGAAUACUUAAUUUCUAAAAUUUACUGCAACAACUUCACAUAUUAAAUGAUUAAUUCUUAAAUUCACUUAAUUUUUAUUUUUUUGCUAUGUAGUUUUCUAUUUUUUUUAUUCUAACUCCCAAUAUAUUAUUAUAGGAAAUUUUAAUUAAUGACAUCAUUUUCUGUUAGAAAUUUCUCAAUUGCCCACGAGAUUUAUUUAGAAAUAUUAUCCAUCAGAUAAAGAAUAACGUAAGAGCAACUCAUUAGGAGAUUAAUUAAUGAUAACUUAAUUUUCAUAAAAUGAUAGAAUAUAUAAGCCCAUAUUUUCGAUUAAAUAACAAAAAAUCUGAAAACUUAAAAAAAAUUAACGCCCCAUCCGAAAAGGAAAAGAAUUAUGCCUUAUCUCUUAACCCAUUUGUUUUGGGUGGGGGGUGGGGAAGGUUAACGCAUUUAGUUUUCUUAGUUCCUUUUAUUUUCUUUUUGCAAAUAGACUAAUCGUACAGUGUGCAACUCUCAAGAAAAUGAUCCAGAAUAAUAACAAAUAGUAUUGCACUACAAAUACUAAGAAAAACAAAAUUUAACAUAUCACAUAUGAAUCAUUUGAAAAAAAAAUAAAAAAACAUAACAUGAUUCUCUAUGAUCUUCAAUCGGCAAAAUACAAAUAAACUCUCUAUUUUUAAAUCAUAUAAGAGUUUUGUUGCUCUUCUCGGAUCUUAACCGAAAAAAAGAUAUAAAGUUUUUGCCAAAUUCCAAUCACAUUUGAUUUUUUAGAAUUAAUCUUAUUUAUUAUGUGUUAAUAUACAAUUACCUUUAUGACAUUUCUCAUAUGGUUGAGAGAAGUAACUAAAUAGUCUUCCAUGAUAUUGAGUCCGUUCAAAUCAUUAACUUCAUUCGGACUUUCCAAGUUUCUUAUCAAUUAAUAAAUAAUAGUUUUAGUAAACUUAAUAAAAAAAAACUAAAACUAAUAAGAAAAUUAAAAAAAAUGAUUUAUUGAAUCUUCAUUAGUGUUUUUCUUAAUUAUAACUUCAAAAUUAACUUCUUCUCUUCAUACAAUUUCUUGAGUUCUCUCAGUUUAGUGACUUUCUUGUCAUCCUAAAUUUCAAUAAUUAUAGUAUUCAAUAAAUAUUUAUUAAAAGUAAACAAUAUAUUUUUUCAAAUAUUUUUUAAUAAAUAUUUUCGUACAUGAAUCUCUUCAUCUCUGCAAUAAAUAUAGCAAAAUUAGAUCUAGUAUGUUGAAUAAUCUAUAAGUAUGUGUUUGAAUAUAAACAAAAUCAUACAUUUCAUGCAAAAAUUGAUCAUUUCUUAGUGAAAAUUGAUCAUUUUCAGACGAAAAUUAUCGCUUUUAGGCGAAAAUUUAUCAUAUUCAUUAUUGGUCACUUCUGGAUUGUUCUUGUUCAACAAUUUUAUCAGCCUCUAUAUAUACAUGUAAAAAAUAAAUAAAUAAAAAAACAUUUCAUAAAAAAAGAGAAAAUUUACUUAGUUGUUCGUUACUAGCUUUUGUUGGCUAAAUCUUCUAAUAUUCUGAUAAGUUUUUGUUUUGGUUUUAUUUUUUAUAUUGAAAACUAAUAAUAUCAAUCACAUAAACUUAGAUUUGAAUAUAGAACCAAUAAAUAUGAAAAUAAGUAUACAUGUUUUAUGUUUAUUGUCAAAACCGUAUCCCCAACUAAUCGUGAGAAAGAUAAUAGAGAAUGAUAAAUCAAACUUUAAUUGAUAAAUAUAAAGUGAUGAGUAAAUCGAACCUUUACUGUGUAGGCUCUCCUGAAUGCAUACAUAAAAUACCAAAGUCAGCCAAUGUAUAAAACAAAAACCAUGCCAAUGUAGUUAUGUAAUAAUAAUAUACAAAUCUGAAAGAUCACACCUUUCUUCCCGUUCUUGUAAUGAAAGCAUGCAAUACCUAUCAUAGAUUUUAUUAAAGGACCUACAAUUUCAAAAGCAUAGUUUUAAGAAAAUAUUGGUAAUUUCAAUUCAUAACCAACAAAUUGACGAUUCUAUAAUAACACUCACUAUUGGACAUGUAGCCAACUAGUGCAUGUUACCAUGUCACUCCUAAGUAGCUAAAAAAAAAAGUGAACCUAAUUUAUAAUCGUUGCAAAAAUAUUUUAUGAAAAAACAAGAAUAAGUGGAAAAUAGUUUAAUUUUUUGAAAACUUAGGUUCAAAUAAUUUAUACUUAGAACGAAUGUGGAAAAGGGUAGGUUUAUCGGUAGGAGAAACAACAAUCAAAAUUAUUUCAAAAUCACACAAUAGUGCCACUUCUUUUGCCUUCUUGAAAAGACUUUUUUUUUUUACGUUUUGAGUAUUUGCUACUUCUCUCUUUUAUGCAUUCUAUUCUAUUCAGUUUUAUUUUCUUCCUCCCCAUUUUUCUACAACUAAUUUUGUUUUCCUUGAGUAUUUCCCCCAUUCCCCUUUAUAUAAUAAGGUUUAGAGAAAGUUUAUCUUGGGGGUAAUUAAAGACGAGACUAGAGAAGAAUCUUUAGAUUCUUACCAAAAAAAAAGAGAAGAAUCUUUAGAUUAAUGUGUUAUUUAAUAGCUAUUAUUAUCUUUGAAAAUUCUAGAUUUGGUUUCAUAGAUUUUAAUUGAUGUCAUUAGUAUUCCACAAGACAAACAAUAUUUUUUUUUUCCUUGACACACAAGUAGAUGGUUAAUCUUAAUUGGUUAUGCUCAUUUUGACUUUUCCAAGUUUACUUGGAUUAAAAUACUCAUAGCAAAAAUUAAAUAUUCAUAACAUUAUAUGAUCACGUAACACAAAAUAAAACAAUCAUAAUAAGUGCAACACUAUGAUGAUAUAUCUUUAAACUUUAACUAAUUUUCUUAAAUAAAUUUUCAUAAAUAAUAAACAGAUUGCCUUGCAUUUUUAUUGGUUGACUAUAAAAACAGUGAAAGUAGAACUAAAUCUAAAAGAAAUUAGAUGAUAUUUACACAUAAUUUACAAAGGCCUUGUGAAACAAAACUCCGUUCUUUAAAAAAAAAUUAAUUAUUUUUUAAAAAAUAUAUUCCACAAUAAUUCAAAUAUUAUCGCUUCUUUAUUUUAUUUUAUUUUUUAAAUGAAAAAUUCAUUCUAAAUAAAAACUGAAAUAAUGAAAUUCAAAAUAUUUAAAUUCAUUUUGAGGCUUUCACUUUAUAAUUAAGUUUUUUUUCUGUUAAUGAGUUUUACAUUUAAAGGAUGAGAACUAAACUUUGUUAGAUAUAUAGCUCAGCUCAACCUCAUACUUUGAAAUAAAGCUCUUAAAAAGAAGUAUAAACUAAGGAUAAACUUUGAAGAAACAAAAAAAAAUCUAAGCAUAAACUAAGUCUCACCUAAUAUAGAAAUUCUUUCUAAAUUAAAGAUCUAUAUAUCGUAUAGUCAUUUUAAUAUACCUAAUUUCUAAAAUUUACCGCAACAACUUCACAUAUUAAAUGAUUAAUCCUUAAAUUCACUUAAUUUUUAUGUCUUUGCAAUGUAGUUUACUAUUUUAUUAUUCUAACUCCCAAUAUAUUAUUAUAGGAAAUUUUUUUUAUUGACAUAAUUUUCUAUUAGAAAUUUCUUAAUUGCCCAAGAGACUUAUUUAGAAAGAUUAUCCAUCGGAUAAAUAAUAACAUAGGAGCAACCCAUUAGGAGAAAAGAAGUACAAUAUACUAGGGUUCACUAACAAAUAAAAUCAUAAAUUUAAUAUCGAAAAAUAUAAAACAUGAUUAGAAUGAAAUUUUAAUUAACGAUAACCUAAUUUUCAUAAAAUAAUAGAAUAUAUAAGCCCAAAUUUUCUUUUAAAUAACAACAAAAAAUAUGAAAACAUAAAAAAAAAAUUAUUAACGCCCCAUCCGAAAAAGAAAAGAAAUAUCCCUUAUCUUUUAACCUAUUUUUGGGAGGAAAACGGUUAAUGUAUGUAGUUUUCUUAGUUCCUUUUGUUUUAUUUUUUUGCAAAUAAAGUAAUCAUACAGUGUGCAACCCUCAAGAAAAUGGUCGAGAAAAAUCACAUAUAGUAUUACACUACAAAUGAUAUAAAAAAAAAGGAAUUAACAUAUCACAUAUGAAUCAUUUGAAAAAAAAAACAAAAAAACAUACCAUGAUUCCCUAUGAUCUUCAAUCGACAAAAUACAAAUAAACUCUCCAUUUUUAAAUCAUAGAAGAGUUUUGUUGCUCUCCUCGGAUCUUAACCUAAAACAAGAUAUAUUUGUUUUGCAAAAUUCCAAUCACAUUUGAUUUUUAGAAUAAAUCUUAUUUAUUAUAUGUUAAUAUACAAUUACCUUUAUGACAUUUCUCAUAUGGUUGAGAGAAGUAACGAAAUAGUCUUCCAUGAUAUUGAGUCCGUUCAAAUCAUUAACUUCAUUCAGACUUUCCCAGUUUCUUAUCAAUUAAUAAAUUAUAGUUUUAGUUAACUUAAUAGAUAAAACUAAAACUAAUAAGAAAAUUAAUAAAAAUGAUUUAUUGAAUCUUCAUUAGUGUUUUUCUUAAUCAUUACCUCAAAAUUAUUGAGUUCUCUCAGUUUAGUUAUCUUAUUAUCAUCCUAAAUUUCAAUAAUUAUAGUAUUAAAUAAAUAUUUAUUAACAUAAAACAAUAUAUUUCUUCAAAUAUUUUUUAAUAAAUAUUUUCGUACCUGAAUCUCUUCACCUCUGCAAGAAAUAUAGCAAAAUUAGAUCUAGUAUAUUGAAUAAUCUUUAAGCAUGUUUUUGAAUAUAAACAAAAUCAUACCUUUCAGGCGAAAAUUGAUCAUUUGCUAUGGUCACUUCUCGAUUGAUCUUGUUCAGCAGUUUUAUUAGCGUCUAUAUAUACAUGUAAAAAAUAAAUAAACAAACAUUUCAUAAAAAAAGAGACAAAAUUUACUUAGUUGUUCGUUACUAACUUUAGUUGGUUAAAUCUUCUAAUAUUCUGAUAAGUUUUUGUUUUCGGUUUUAUUAUUUUAUUGAAGACUAAUAAUGUCAAUCACAUAAACAUAGAUUUGAAUAUAGCACAAAUAAACUACAAAAAUAAGUAUACAUCUUUUAUGCGUAAAAUAUUGUCAAACCAUUUCCCCAACUAAUCAUGAGAAAGAUAUUAGAUAGUGAAAAAUCAAACUUUAAAGUGAUGAGUAAAUCCAACCUUUAUUAUGUAGGCUGUCCCGAAUGCAUACAUAAAAUACCAAAGUCAGUCUAUGUAUAAAACAAAAACCAUGCCAAUGUACUUAUGUAAUUAUAAUAUAAAAAUCUAAAAGAUCUUGUAAUGAAAGCAUGCGAUACCUCUCAAAAUUUUUAUUAAAGGACUUACAAUUUCAAAAGCAUAGUUUUAAGAAAAUAUUCGUAAUUUCAAUUCAUAACCAACAAAUUAACGAUUCUAUAAUAACAUUUCGUGUUGAACAUGUAGCCAACUGGUGCAUGUUACCAUGUCACUCCUAAGUAGUUAAAAAAAAUAGUGAACUUAAAUUAUAAUUGUUUAAAAACUAUUUUAUGAAGAAAAAACAAGAACAAGUGCAAAAUAAUUGAGAUAUCCACGAUAAUUUAGUGCGUCAUUAUAAAUUAAUGAAUUAAUAAUUGGCUUAUGGAUCUAAGUUCAGAAAUUUUGUAUUAACAAAAAAAACCAUAAAGACAACAAUAGUUUAAAUUUUUGAAAAAUCAUGUUCAAAUCAUUUAUAUUUAGAACGAGUGUGGAAAAGAGUAAGCUUAUCGGUGGGAGAAACAACAAUGAAGAUUAUAUCACAAUCACACAACAAUGCUACUUCUUAUGCCUUCUUUAAAAACUCUUCAGUUUUAUUUUCUUCCUCCCCAUUUUUCCUUCAAAUAUAUAUAUAUUUUGGAGUGUUCUCCUCACAUCCCCUUUAUAUUAUAUGGUUUAGAGGAAGUUUAUCUUGAAGGUAAUUAAAAAUGAGACUAGAGAAGAAUCUUCAUAAUUAGAUUAAUGUGUUAUUUAAUAGCAAAAUCUUUAAAAAAAUCAAGAUUUGGUUUCACAGAUUUUACUUGAUAUCAUUAGUAUCCCACAAGACAAACAAUGUUUUUUGUUUUUUGCUGACACACAAUUAUAAGUUGAAUCUUAAUUGGUUAUGCUCAUUUUGACUUAUCUAAAUUUAGUUGGAUUAAAAUACACAUAGCAAAAAAAUUAAGUAUUCAUAACAUUAUAUAAUCACGUAGCAUGAAAUAAUAGAAUCAUAAUUACUAUGAUACUACGAUGAUAUAUCAUUAAACAUUAAUUAAUUUUUUAAAUAUUUUUUCAUAAAUAUUAAUCAGAUUGCCUUCCAUUUUUCUUGAUUGACUAUAAAAACAGUGAAAGUAGAAAUAAAUCUAAACAAAAUUAGAUGAUAAGUACCCCUAAUUUACAAAGGCGUUAUCAAACUAAACUUCGUUCUUUUUAAGUUUGUUUAAUUAUGUUUUAAAAAAUUAAAUUCCAUAACAAUUCAAAUAUAAUCGCUUCUUCAUUUUCUUUUGUUUUGUGAAUGAAGAAAAAUCAUUCUACAUAAAAACUGGAAAAAUGAAAUUCAAAAUAUUUAAAUUCAUUUUAAGUUUUCACUUUAUAAAUAAAGUUUUUCUGUUAAAGAGGUUUAUAUUUAAAGCAUGAGAACUAAACUUUGUUAGGUAUAUAGCUCAGCUCAACCCCAUACUUUGAAAUAAAACUCUUAAAAAGAAGCAUAAACUAAGCAUAAACUCUGAAGAAAAAAAAAAAAACUAAGCAUAAACUAAGUCUCACCUAAUAUAUAGAUUCUUUCUAAAUUAAGGAUAUAUAUAUAUAUAUCAUAUAGUCAUUUUAGAAUACCUAAUUUCUGAAAUUUGCCUCAACAACUUUACAUACUAAAUAAUUAAUCAUUAAAUUCACUUAAUUUUUAUUUUUUCUGUUAUAUAGUUUACUAUUUUAUUAUUUUAACUUUCAGCAUAUUAUUAUAGGAAAUUUUAUGAAGUUCCAUCAUUUUCUGUCAGAAAUUUUUCAAUAAUUUAGCAGUUCAUUAGGAGAUAAGAGGUACGACAUUCUAGGGUUCACUAACUAAUGAAAUACAAAAUUUAAUAUUGAAAAAAUAUAAAACAUGAUUAGAAUGAAAUUUUAAUUAACGAUAAUCUAAUUUCAUAAAAUAAUAGAAUACAUAAGCCCAUAUUUCUUUUAAAUAACAACAAAAAUAUGAAAACUUAAAAAAAAAAAAUUAUUAACGCCCUAUCCGAAAAGAAUAAAGAAAUAUCCCUUAUCUUUUAACCCAUUUUUGGUUUCCUUUUAUUUUCUUUUUUACAAACAGACUAAUCAUACAGUGUGCAACUCUCAAGAAAAUGGUCCGAAAAAAUCACAAAUAGUAUUGCACUAUAAAUGGUAAAAAGAAAAAUUAACAUAUCACAUAUGAAUCAUUUGAAAGAAAAAAGAACAUAACAUUAUUUCCUAUGAUCUCCAAUCUCCAAAAUACAUAAUAAACUCUCCAUUUUAAAUCAUAUAAGAGUUUUGUUGCUCUUCUCGGAUCUUAACCUGAAACAAGAUAUAAUUGUUUUGCAAAAUUCCAAUCACAUUUGAUUUUUAGAAUAAAUCUUAUUUAUUAUAUGUUAAUAUGCAAUUACCUUUAUGACAUUUCUGAUAUGGUUGAGAGAAGUAACUAAAUAGUCUUCCAUGAUAUUGAGUCCGUUCAAAUCAAUAACUUCAUUCGGACUUUCCCAGUUUCUUAUCAAUUAAUAAAUAAUAGGUUUAGCAAAACUUAAUAAAAAAAAAAACUAAAAUUAAUUAGAAAAUUAAUAAAAAUGAUUUAUUGAAUCUUCAUUAGUGUUUUUCUUAAUCAUUACCUCAAAAUUAACUUCUUCUCAUCAUACAAUUCCUUGAGUUCUCUCAGUUUAGUGACCUUAUUAUCAUCCUAAAUUUCAUUAAUUAUAGUAUUAAAUAAACAUUUAUUAAAAGGAAACAAAAUAUUUUUUAAGAAAUAAUUUCGUACCUGAAUCUCUUCACUUCUGCAAUAAAUAUAUCCAAAUUAGAUCUAGUAUGUUGAAUAAUCUAUAAGCAUGUGUUUGAAUAUAAACAAAAUUAUACCUUUCUGGCAAAAAUUGAUCAUUUUCAAGCGAAAAUUGAUCAUUUUCAGGCGAAAAUUGGUCACUUUCAGCAAAAGAUUGAUCAUUUUCUAUAGUCACUUCUGGAUUGUUCUUGUUCAAUAAUUUUAUCAGCGUCUAUAUAUACAUGUAAAAAAUAAAUAAAUAAACAAACGUUUCAUACAAAAAAAAAAAGAAGAGAAAAUUUACUUAGUUGUUCGUUAUUAGCUUUAGUUGGCUAAAUUUUUUAAUAUUCUGAUAAUUUUAAUUUUUGGUGUUAUUUUUUAUUGAAAACUAAUAAUAUCAAUCACAUAAACUUAGAUUUGAAUAUAGCACCAAUAAACUAUGAAAAUAAGUAUACAUCUUUUAUGCUUAAACUAUUGUGAAAACCAUAUAUCCAACUAAUCGUGAGAAAGAUAUUGGCGUGUGAAAACUCAAACUUUAAUUGAUAAAUGUAAAGUGAUGAAUAAAUCAAACCUUUAUUGUGUAGGCUCUCCUGAAUGCAUACAUAAAACACCAAAGUCAGCCAAUGUAUAAAACCAAAACCAUGCCAAUGUACUUAUGUAAUAAUAAUAUAAAAUCUGAAAAAUCACACCUUUCUUCCCGUUCUUGUAAUGAAAGCAUGCAAUAUCUCUCAUAGAUUUUAUUGAAGGACCUACAAUUUCAAAAGCAUAGUUUUAAGCAAAUAUUGGUAAUUUCAAUUCAUAAGCAACAAAUUAACGAUUCUAUGAUACCACUUCCUACUAGACAUGUAGUCGACUAGUGCAUGUUAGCAUGUCACUCCUUAGUAGUUAAAAAAAAAAGUGAACCUAGAUUAUAAUCGUUUCAAAACUAUUUUAUGGAAAAAACAAGAUCCAGUGGAAAAUAAUUGAGAUAUCUAUGAUCAUUUAGCGCGUUAUUGUAAGUUGAUGAAUUAAUAAUUGGCUUAUGGAUCUAAAUGUAGAAGUGAUCUAUUAACAAAAAAAAAAAAAACCAUAAACACAACAAUAUAUAUUUUUUUUUAGAACUUCUGUUCAAAUAAUUUAUACUUAGAACGGGUGUGGAAAAGGGUAGGCUUAUCCGUCGGAGAAACAACAAUCAAAAUGACUUCACAAUCGCAUAACAAUGCUACUUCUUCUGCCUUCUUGAAAAGCCCUUGUUUACGUUUUGAGUAUUUGCUACUUCUCUCUUUUAGGCUUUCUAUUCUAUUCAAUUUUAUUUUCUUCCUCCCCAUAUUUUCUACAAUUAAUAUUUUUUUCUUGAGUGUUCCCCCCAUAUCCCCUUUAUAUAAUAAGGUUUAGAGGAAGUUUAUCUUAGGGGUAAUUAAGGAUGAGACUAGAGAAGAAUCUUAAUUAGAUUAAUGUGUUAUUUAAUAGCUAUUAUUAUCUUUGAAAGUUCUAGAUUUGGUUUCAUAGAUUUUAAUUGAUGUCAUUAGUAUUCCACAAGACAAACAAUUUUUUUUUUUUCUGCUUGACACACAAGUAGAAGGUUAAUCUUAAUUGUUAUGCUCAUUUUAACUUUUCUAAAUUUAGUUGGAUUAAAAUAUUCAUAGCAAAAAAAUUAAAAUAAUCAUGAUUAGUAUAACACUAUGAUGAUAUAUCUUUAAACUUUAAUUAAUUUUCAUAAAUAAUGAACAGAUUGCCUUCCAUUUUUAUUGGUUGACUAUAAAAACAGUGUAAGUAGAACUAAAUCUAAAAGAAAUUAGUUGAGAAUUACCCCUAAUUUACAAAGGCCUUGUGAAACUAAAUUCCGUUUUUUUUAAGGUUGGCUAAUUAUUUUUAAGAAAAUUAAAUUCCAUAACAAUUGAAAUAUCACCGCUUCUUCAUUUUUCUUUUAUCUUGUAAAUGAAGAAAAGUCAUUCUAAAUAAAAACUGUAAAAGUGAAAUUCAAAAUAUUGAAAUUCAUUUUCUUGCUUUCAAUUUACAAAGAAGUAUUUUUUGUUAGAGUUUUAUAUUUAAAGCACGAGAACUAAACUUUGUUAGAUAUAUAGCUCAGUUCAACCACAUACUUUGAAACAAAACUCUUAAAAGGAAGAAUAAACUAAGCAUAAACUUUGCAAAAAAAAAAAAACUAAGCAUAAACUUAGUCUCACCCAAUAGAAGAUAUAGAUCAAGAAACUUAGUCUCACCCACGAAUGAAUGGGUACGGUAGAUAAUCGUACCAACCACACGAGUUUUGUCUUCAGUUCGAGAAUCUUUAGAUGGAAAGAUCUAGAGAUCAACGGCUAAAGAUAUUAUAAGGCACUGACCAAGGUUUAGUACUCAUUGUUUAACCACCAAGCCAAAAUGAAAAAUGUAACGCCCCGACAUCUUUAUCAGUGAGCACUCACAUCCUUUAUCGGACCCGUGGGCUCCAUCCCUGUCUGGCGGUCGGUCUGCUACGUCUGGAAGGCUUUAAAGACUUUGUUUACCGAUCAUACAAAUAACGACAUGAUCUUUCCACGUGUUUUGUCCUUACUCACCCGGUUCAGAUAAUCACUUCCCGGAAGGUCACCCAUCCUGAAAUUGCUCUAACCCAAGCACACUUAUCUGUGGAAUUCUCUCAGGACAGUUGACCGGAAAGAAAAGUGCAUUUUGGUGACAUAGGUGGUCAAAUCAAUUCUUUUAACCUUUACGCAUGCCUCACCAUCUUCAUGAAAUCGGGGUGUUAUAAGAAAGAUUAUAGACACGAGAAUAUUUAGAUCCUCCAAACUUAGAUGUUUUGUUAUAUGUGAAUAGUUGCAUCGAUCGAGAGGUUUGGCGAUGGAAUGGAGGAUAUCGCUCCAGCCAUAUCGAUUAAAUGAAAGACUUCCAAACGAGAAUUGACUAUAUACUUUUUAGCUUACGAUCCAAAAAUUACUUUGCAUGUCUAAGAAAGUAGUGUCCCAAGAACAAUGAGGAUGCAUGUUGUAUUUGAGAGAUGUUGGUCACGAACCAAAUGAGCAUUAGUAUCCAUAUGAUUACAUUAUAUUAGUAUUUCACAAGACAAACAAUGUAUGUUUUUUGUGUGUCACACAAGUGUAUGUGAGUCUUGAUUUUUUUUUUUUUUUUACUUUAAUCUAAUCUAGGUGGAUCAAAAUACACAUAGCCCAAAAUUAAAUAAUCAUAACAUUAUAUGAUCACCUAGCACAAAACAAAGUUACAAUGUGUUUUUUUUGUGCCACACAAGUGUACUUGAGUCUUGAUUAUGUUCCUUUUGACUUUAAAUCUAAAUCUAGUUGAAUCAAACUACACAUAGCCCAAAUGAAAUAAUCAUAACAGUAUAUGAUGACCUAGCACAAAACAAGGUUAUUCACUUUAUGGAACCGAUAGAAGACUUCCACUUAACAUAUAUGUUCGAUGUGAUGUUAUGAUAUAACAACAUACAAAUCUUAAGGUCUGGAUGUUGUAGUUGAGUAAAUUUUCAAAUCCUACUACAUAUAUAUUUAACACGAAGCUCUGAAAAGGAAGCAUAAACUAAGUCUCACUCAAUAGAAGAAUUAGAUCAAGAAACAAUACUUGAACGAAAUAAAUCAUAACCCACGAAUGAAUGAGUUGGGUAGAUAAUCGUAAAACAACCACUUGAGUUUUGUCUUCAUUUCGAAUAUCUUUAUAUGUAAGGAGAUCAAUUGAUAAUGAAAUAUAUAAGGCACAAACUAAGAUGUAGUAGUACACACAAUGUUUAGCCACCAAACAAAAGUUGAAAAAGAUUAUAGACAAGAGACAAUUUUGAUCUUCGAAACUUAGAUGUUUUGUUUUACAGGAAUAGUUGCAUCGACUCAUCGGGUAGUUUGGCGAUGAAUUCGAGGAUGUCACUCCAGCCAUAUCGAUUAAAUGGAAGACUUCCAAACGAGAAUGGACAGUAUCUUUUUUAGCUUACGAUCCAAAAAUUACUUUGCUUGCCUAAGAAAGUAGUGUCCGAAGAACAAUGAGGAUGCAUAUUUGAAAGAUGUUGGUCUCCAACCAAAUGAGGAUUAGGAUUCAAUUGAUUGCAUUAGCAUUUCACAAGACAAACUAGGCCUGGGCAAUCGGUUUUAUCGGUUUGUUCGGUUCGGUUUAUUCGGUUUUUCGGGUUUUUCGGUUUUUAAAAUUUCUGCCGAAUUGAACCGAAUAAAAAUUCGGUUCGGUUCGGUCGGUACUCGGUUUGUUCGGUUCGGUUAUAGGCCAAAAAAUCAAUUCCGAAAUAAACCGAAAUUUUUUCCAAUUCGGUUAAUUCGAACCAAAUUAGACCAAAAUAAAGAUAAUGGGCUUUUAAUAAGCAAAAUUUUACGGUUACAAACGAGUAAAAUAAUGGGCCAUGACUAAUUACAGAGUUAAGCCCAAAUAAAACUAAAACCCAAGUUCAAAAAAAAAUUAGGGUUGAUAGACUCGCCGCUACUCUCUUUCUCCGCUGUGACAGUGACGGCGACGAGAUGGCGGUGUCAUCAAACAAUGCGAUCUCUCCGAAUAAACCCUCAACGAAAGCUAUCAUACCAUCGUCAAAAUCACAUGCAGUAAGAAUCCAAUAUCUAAAAUUGAGAAAAUAGGAAAAGAAAAACAAAAUUGAAAAUCGAUUAGAUCUGAAGUUUUACAUGCCGUGUGUUUGGUGACGAGGAGGAGCGUAACGGCGACGCCAGCGAUAAACGGCCAAAACAUUUCGAAUCUGAACCACAGACUCGAUGUCGGAGAGAAUGAUUCAAAAUAGCCAUGGGUUAGGAUGAUAAGGCCAACAACGUUUCAAAUCUCUCUUGAAUAACACUUGCCAUGGAUUGAUGUCGAGGCUGAGGAAGAAGAAGAGAAGAAAAGAGAUGGAGAAGAAGAAGAAGAAGCUAUAAAGUUAACGAAGGAAUGAGAAGAGAUCGAAGGAGAAAAGAAGAAAGGAGAUGGACAGGAAGAAGCUAUAGAAAAUAGAUCUAGGGUUUUUGUUUUUUAUAUGGGUGUCUAUUAACCGAGAAAACCGAUCGGUUACCGUCUGCCGAACCGAACCGAACCGAGAACCGAAGUCUAAUUAUAAUUCUGCCGAUCGGUUUAGCCUUUCCUUUCUUAUCAGUGCCGAAAACCGAAAAAAUCGGUUUGUUCGGUUCGGUUAAUUCGGUUUAUUCCGAUUGCCCAGGCCUAAGACAAACAAUAUAUAUUUCUUUCUUUAUGACACACAAGUGUAUGUGACUCUUGAUUAUGUUUCUUUGACUUUUAAUCUAACAGUAUAUAUAUGGUUACCAAGCACAAAACAAGAUUACUUACAUGUGACACUAUGAUUAUCUAUUUCUAAACUUUAACUAAUUUUAUGUAAAUUCGUUUUCAUAAAUAAAUAAAUGAUCAGAUUGUCUUCUAUUUUUAGCUGUUAAAUAUAAAGAAGUAAAAAUAGCACUAAAUCUAAGAUAAGUUCAAAGAAUAACCUAAUUUUUAGAGUUCAAGGCAUUUUGUUUUUUCUUUUUUGGUAGGAUUUUUGAAAUUACAAAUAGGAAAUAGGAUAGAACUUAUAAAUCAUUCCGAAACAGAAAUUUAGAUAGAAAAUAGGAAGUCUAAGUGCCAGUCUGAGGAUAUAUUCACACACUUGUCUAAUAAUAACAAGGCAGUGCAUAAUUUUUUUACAUGAGACAUUAAUUUUCUAACAGCCUGCUUAACGCAACAAAACGAUACCGUUUUAAAGAUUCUCCUCCUAAGAAAAAAGUAAUUGACACUACUCACUGUUCUGAGAAAUAACUUGUCCAAACCGAAGAAACAGCUGAGCAUCAGAAGCACUCAUGGAAGAGCAAUUGACAGAAUGAGGAGUCUUGAGAUUUGCAUACUCAUCGACGUAGCACGAACCAGCCAGCGUUGCUGAGGUGUCUGUCGCAGCAGGUGGUUGUUCCGACAACAUGAAGCUGCCGAGGACACGAGUCACUUGGUGCAUUGUGGGUCGAUCAUUAGGUUGUCUUUUGGUGCAUAGAAGUGCCAGUUGGAAAACUUUCUUCACCACACCGAGAUCCUUACACGUCGAUGUGAUGUCUGGAUCUGCCAUCUCCAUCACUUCAUUGUUCCCCGUCUUUGACAUUAUCUAAUGUGCAAGUGAAUCAAUGAAAACAAGAUUACAACACAAAAAACUUACCGAACCAAGCCGAAGUUCCUCAGAUCGAAACUAAAACAUUACAACAUUUUCAUGCUAAAUGUCGAACCAAAUCAGAAAAUACUUUUAACCAAACACAAAAAUUUACGGGUGUUUAAUUCAGAUAAACCGAUUCAAGCCAAAAUACUUGAUCCGAAAAUCGAAUCCAAAUCCAAACCAAACCAUAAAAGAAAACACCAAUGUAUAACCACCAAAGCUUCUUUGGAACAUAAUGAUAUAUUAGACUCAACCAAAAACCCGAAAAAUUAUAACAAGAAAACAGAUUGGCAUGCUGAGAGAAAGAGAGGCAAGAAAGGACAAACCAGAUGGUGGAGAUUGGAUUCGUCAUCGACGGCUUUCCUUCGGGUUAACAACUCAAGCAGCACUAUUCCAUAACUGUAGACAUCGGAUUUCUCAGUGAGACGUGAAGUGCGAGCAUACUCGGGGUCUAUGUAACCAAUCGUGCCCAUUACGUAAGUUGAAGUAUGUGACUUUGACACACACAAGCUUUUCGCGAUUCCGAAAUCUGUUAAACGAGCCUCUAAGUCUUUGUCCAAGAGAAUGUUGGACGACUUAACGUCUCUGUGAAUGAUCCUUGGACUACAGUCAUGGUGUAGAUAAGCUAAACCUUGUGCUGCACCAUAUGCUAUCUUAAGCCGUGUGUCCCAAUCAAGAGUCUUUUUCUUCGUAGGGCCUUUACAAACACACAAGAAAAUAUGUUAUGUAACAGAAGAAACAAAUGAAGUUUGUUUUUAGGGCAAUGAGACUUACCGUGAAGAAGAUCCCAGAGGCUACCAUUUUCCAAAUAGUCAUAGAACAGGAGACUCCCCAAUGGAGAGAGAGAAUAGGCUUGUAGGCUCACAAGAUUUCUGUGCUUGAUGCUACUUAGCAUCUCGAGUUCGGUCUCAAAUUGUUUCAUUGACUGUGGGUUGUGAGAGUAAAGCCGCUUAAUUGCUACCGGUUUGCAGUUCUUCAAAACACAUUUGUAUACAGUGCUUGAUGCUCCAUGCCCAAUGAUGUACUUCUCACUCAGAUUCUCAGUCAUUCUCAUGAUAUCCUCGUAAACGUGGAGUGCCAUGUUCAUAUGAAGGAUGACGAGCUUCGGGGUUGAAUAGGUUACUGAUGUCACCAAGAAGUUUAAGGAUUAGCUAUUGGGUUACAUUAGUAGUAGUUGAAGAACAUUUGUAAAGUGGUUUGGAGAGUAAACCUGGUUUGUCAAGUGAUCCAUCAAGAACUGGAGGAGGAUUAUGCGGCUGGCAAGCUGCUAUUAAGACCAUGAGAAGGAUCACAAGUCCCCCAAUAGCUAUUCCAAGAAUAGCUGCUCUAGAGAUUGACACUGCAGACAAAACAAGGAUAGAAACAUAAGCUUCUAUUAUCUUAGGUUAUGUGAAUGGAAGCUUUUAGAAGAAUGUAAUCACCUCGUACAGUUGGACGAGAAUCAUGACAGGGUGAGUUUAGCCAACUACCGCAAAGACCAGGAUUGCCAAUGAAGCUUUAUCCAAAACCAAAAAAAACAGAGAUCAAACAAACAUUAGCCAGCAAAACAAAAUACCAAAACUAAAUUAUUAUACCUGUCUGGUGAAAAUCUUGAGAAGUUAUUGUUCUUAGGGAUAUCGCCUACAAGGUUGUUGUGAGAUACAUUCCUAUAAAAGUUAGUCAAGAUUACAGGUUAGAUUCUAAGCACAAGAUGCACACAAAGAGACAAAAAGUGUUACAGAACCAAUUGUAUCUACUUACAAUACAGUCAGGCUGAGGCAGUUGGCUAAUGAACCAACAUUACCAGUUAAGUUAUUAUUUUCCAGUCUCCUGCAAGAAAUUUUAAGAAACACAACAUUGGAUAAAUCACCAACCCAAUAUCUGUCGCUGGAUCACACAUAGUGACCACAUCAAUUAUGUUCAGAUAUUUAUCUUUAUUUUACUAUCAUUUAACACAAACUAUUUCUCAACAGCUUUGGAGGGGUAAGAAGAAGAUUGCUUACAGCAAAACAAUAUUCUGCAAUUGAUUAAGCUCUUCUGGAAUUGGGCCCGAGAUAUCAUUAUUUGAAAGAUCUCUGCAACCACAAAACACAAAUUCAGAACGGUAAUGCGAUAUUUGGAAAAACUCUAACCAAGGAAAUAGAAGAUACUUCUUACAUUUCCAUGAUGCUUCUUAGAUUUCCAAAGUCGCCUGGAACUACACCGGUUAUAUGAUUUCUGCUCAAGUUCCUAAAACAAGAAUGCAAGAUUUCACAAUCCAUUUUCAUCUUUUACUAGAACAAAACAAUGAAUUGGAGGUCGUAUGGAUGCUCACAUCUUGAGAAGAUGCUCCAAAUCACCAAGGGAAGAAGGAAUGAUGCCAUUUAUCUUGUUGUUGGAAAGAUCCCUUCAAAUAUCAGAAAAUUAAUAUCUGUGGGACAAGGCAAAUAGAAAGAUGUAUACUUUACAGAAAACAAGAAACACUCACAAUGUAUCUAAGUUACCGAUACGAGAUAGCUCAACCGGGAUUGGACCUUUGAUAUUGUUGUUGGACAGAUUACUGGUUGAACCGAUAAAUCAAAAGCAAUAAAAAACUUGGUAGUUAAUGGCUUUAAAAUCUAAAAACAAAAGCUGCAGAACUAUAUCAUACAUUAAGGUAUCAGAAAGAUUCUCAGCGCCAAUACUUACAGGUAAGUCAUGCUCUCUAGCUUUUGAAAUGCUCGAGGUAUGGUGCCGCUAAACUUGUUCCCGUGAACAUUUCUACAGUUGCAAUAAUGAGACAAUAAUCAUAAAGAAGCAAGAAUUUUGAACAUUCCAGUGUGCAGUUUUAAGAGAAAGAGAUACGUACAAGCUAUUUAGGUUUGUGCAGGAGCUCAGAUGAUCAGGUAUAGGUCCUUCAAGAUCAUUGUUGGCCACAUUCCUAUAGGUAAAUAGUUCACAUCAAUAUAAGUACAUCAAAACAUGUCAAGCAUAGGAAGAGCUACUUACAGAUCAAACAAGUCAGUAAGCUUUCCAAGCUCCGGUGGUAUAUGACCCGUGAGAUGAUUAUCGUUGAGUUCCCUGUUGAAAUUGUACAAAUAGUUGAUAAUGAAACACAACUUAGCAGUGACUGACUGCGAAAAGAGAAGUAAAGAGAAGGUUGGUCAUACAGGUAAUGGAGUUUUGACAUGUUUCCAAGCUCAGGCGGAAUUGAACCAGUCAGCUUGUUACUGUGCAAAUACCUAGAGAAUAGAGAUAAAGCCAAAAUCAUAAUCAUUAUCAUUUACAUGGUAUGAAUCACACAUGGCUUCAAACUGAAAACUAAACUCUAAUGAGUCAUUAGACUUCCAUAUAUAGUAAUGAAAAGCCUUAUGCAUUGCAACCCCAUUCUUUAUAGACGUCAAUGUUUAAUUUUCCAUUUGAACUUCCACACAAUAUAUAAUGAAGGAAAUAUCAAGGUACAGAAUUACAAUUUCUCGGUGAAAGUCAGAUUUCCCAAAAUCGGAGGAAUAGGUCCACUCAACAAGUUGCCACUUAGAUCUCUGAAAAAAGAAACAAACCGGAACCUUUAAGUUCAUGAAAAUGUUAUAAGUAGCUUCGUUGAUUAGAAGAAAAUUACUUACAACACUGCAAGGGCUUGCAUGAGACCAAUCACUGAUGGAAUCUUCCCAGAAAGCUGAUUGCCUUGCAAUGAUCUAAGAUAAUAAAAUGAUCUUCUUAAAAGAAAACAAAGGCUAGCCAAAAUUUAAAGCAAAAGAUUUUCGCAGAUCACGACGAUAUGGUAACAGUAGAGAGGUUAGGACUAACAAUGUUGCAACUUGCAGGAAGCCGAUGUCAAAAGGGAUCUCACCAGUUAGCUGAUUGUAGGACAAGUCCCUGAGUACAUAAUAAGCAAAUCAUUAAGUAGAUUUUCCCAAGUAACCAAACUAGAAUAAGGAUGUAUAGAAGUAGAGAGAGAGGCACAUACAAAACCUGGAAGGCAGUGCAAUUUCCUAUCGUCUCAGGGAUACUACCAGUCAAACUGUUGUUUCUCACGUCACUGAUUCAAUACAGAAAAACAAAUUCAGAAGUUUCAUAUUGGGGAAAGAACUCAUCAUACUAUUCAGAUGUGCAAGAAGAGUAUCAUAGACUUACAAAUACCAAAGACCUGUCAGCUGACACAAAUCUGGAGAAAUGUUACCGACCAAGUUGUUUCCUCGCAACCCACUGUUCAUCAUAUUACAACAAUUAUCACCAGGUAAUGAAGAGACAUUGACAUACUUCAAAAAACAUUGACACUUACAGAUACUGAAGAACUUCAUUCCAGUAUAUAAGUCUUGGUAUCUCACCACUGAGUUUAUUCUGUGCCAGGUCCCUGCAAUCGAAAUUUCACAUUUUGAUCAUCUAUAUGGCUAAAAGUAGUAGACAUGUAAGGAUUAAAAGGAACAUACAGAAUUUUCAGGUUUGGAAUCUGCGAAAGCGUUGAAGGGAUCGGUCCUAUCAAUUGGUUAUUCUUCAGAAUCCUGUAAAAAGUAAAAUCCAUAUUCCUCAUAGUGAGUAUAUUUAGCAAAUAACAUAUGAAGACUGGUGUAGAAUAACUAGCUACUUACAGCUGCUCAAGUUGCUUCAACUUCGAAAUCGAAAACGGUAUGUCACCACUUAAUUCAUUGAAGGACAAGUCCCUGAAUAAAAAACAACAUCAUCCACUGAACUUCUAAGAUCAAAAUUAAUGGUAGUAACACUUAUCAUGGUUCUUACAAGUUUUGCAAAGAAGAACAGUCUCCAAUCUCAUCAGGAAUUUGCCCAGACAAACGAUUACCUCGCAGAUCACUACAUUAGAAAAACCAGAAGACAAAAGUCACAAAUUAGAGAGUGGAAUAAAGUAAGAUACUUUAUCUCAUGCUACAGUGAAUGUUGAAACAGUUACAUUGACAAGAGACUCUUGAGAUCUCCAAUAGCAGGUGAGAUUUCUCCAUCAAGAUUCAAAUCUGACAAAUUACUACAAAACAUACAAACACACACAAAACAAAUUACAACUUUUUCCACAAGCACACCAAAAACCCUUGUAAUAAACUUAAGGAUGAAACUUACAGAGCAACAACAUUGAAGGUGACAUUUUCACAAGUCACACCUCUCCAUACACAAUAGUCCGAAGAAGGUGAAGCUGUCCAGUCAUAAAGAACAUUGUUCACAUCUUUGAAUGACUUCUUAAUCUCCAGCAACGUUGCUCCUUUUUUUAAAAGGAUAUUUUAUUAACACACGCACAAACAAAAACAAAUAUUUGUCAGUUCUUGAGAAGAAGAAAAAUAAAAGUCCUUAAAAAUUCAACUUCCAAGAAAACAAAAAUAAACUCAAACCCUAAUUUAUUCAAAGCUUCUUUGAUUCUAUAGAAGACCCACAAAGUUAAAAAAAAAAAAAAAAAAAACCAUUACAAGUACCCAGAUCUCAUUUUCACCUCAAAACUCUUUAAGAAACUUCAAAAGCAUAUAAAAAUCUCAUCUUUUUAGUUUCUUCCACUUCAAAAAAAUCCAUUUUCUUACUCAACCAAAAGACGAAAUCUUGAACUUAAAGAAACAUGCAUCAGUAUAAUAACUUACCCUCGUCAGAAUUCACAGUAGCCACUAAGCUCAAACAGAUAAGAAAACCCAAAAGAACAACAUCUCGAAACAGAGCCAUUUUCUCUCAGACACAGUCUCAAAACGACUGCGUUUUCGAUACACUAAAAAAAGCUUUUAAGUCUCCAUGAAGAAGAAGAAACAGAGGAUAGAGAAGAAGAGAACCAAAUUAUGUACCGACAUUAGAUUUUUUUUAUGAUUUCUACUCAAAUUUGUUUUCUUUUUUUUACUUUAACCGAGAAGAAAAAGUAUUGAUUUUUAUCGUUCCAUCACAUCAUUUUCUGGCGGAAAUUUACAGUGGUUUCAUUGAGUGCUCAGACGACAGAAAUACAGAGUAAGAUAGAGAUGGAGAGAGAAAGAGAAAGAGAGAGUCUUUAAAUGAGGUUUAAAGAGAGGAAAUUGGACAAAUGUAGGGACUGUUGUGUAAGAGAGGAGACGAAGGGAAGAAGAAUUAUUUGGGGAGGAUAAAGUUAAAAACCCCAUCAUCUUUUAUCUCUCUGCCAGAGUUCUGAAGCUUUGCAGAAGAGAGAGAGACUUAGUUUUUGCAUAUUUCUCUCUCUUGAGGGGUAAAAUGGUCAUAAAUGUUGAAGAAGAAGAAGUAGAAGAACAUGUUAAUGGCAGUGGUGAAUAAAGGAGGUCGCUUUCGUUGCCAAUACUUACGAGUCUUUGUCUCUCUGUGCCUGUUUCACUGAUGACCCAUAUCAAUAAAUCCAUCAUAUGGGUACUUUCGUAAUAUGUCGUUUUAUGUAUAAACCAGAAAUCACAAAUAAGUAUCUUGAAUGAUUCCCAUUUUUUUUUUUGUUAAGUGUUGUUUGAUUACUAAAUUUAGAAGUGUUUUACUUAUGCAAAUGAAUUUAUUAUUUUAAACAUGUUUUGUUUGGCGUUUAAAGCAAAAGAUAUAAAAUUUGUUUGGUUUAGAUGUUAAUGGGAUUUCUUUGAUCCUGUUGGCUUGUCACAAAUGUUUAUACUUCGAGGACAAGAUCAAUUUAACCGAAUUUCGACUUAAAAUGAUUCGAUUCAUUAGUUGCAAACCAAUUAGCUAGUGAUGUUAAAACAGACAAAUCCGUCCGUUUAGGGCUCCGUAUGUUAACGUCCUACCCGUUUAAUUCUAUCCAUUUAAGUCAGUUGAGUUUUUUUUUUUUUUUUUUGUCCAUUUAGUUUAAUAUGAAUUUGAGUUUCCUAAACGUUAUUAGAAAGUUCAGAAGUAAUAUGAUUACUUUUCCACGUUUUCAAACACAAAAAUAUGUCCAUAAUAGUGUUCUAAAAAGCGGUCUAGGCGAUCGGCUAGGCCCCAACUAGACGCUACGCUCUUAUGCGACGUCUAAAUAACCGCUUUGAUCGUCUAAAAUUACAUAGAUUUUGUUUAAUGUAUUUUUUCAAUUUCAAUUAGAGUUUUAUUUAUAUAUAUAGUUAUAAAUAUUCAUAUAUUGUUAUAAAUAAAUGUUUUAUCUAGUUUUUAUUUAUAAUUUCAUAAUUUUUAGUUUUAUAUAGAUAUUUUAUAUAACUUUUAUAUAUAAUAUCAUAUUUAUAAUGUUUUCUGUUAUAAACGUCUAAUCCGCCUAAAAAAUCGCCUAGGCCCCGAUUAGGCAUUCUAGGCGCUAGGCAUUGGGUCACCGUCCGCUUAGCGUCUAGCGCUUUCUUGAACACUCUAUAUGAGAGAGUUAAACAAAUUUAACAUAUUACAACGAAAAUAAAAAUUACAAUUAAAAAAAUACAAAGUGAUAACUCCUGAUAUGUUAUGUAACCUGGAGUAACCACGUCUUUUUGGUAUGAUUCAUGGAGUAACCUAGGUUAUCUCAUGGAGAAGCUUGGGGAACGGGGCUGUAUUGACCUGGGGAUUCCUUUAUCAAGUACAGUAAAGGAAGUGCUGACUAUGACCCGCAGAAGGAACCAUCGACAAAAUAUCCUUAAUCUGGUGGAAGAAGAAAUUCGAAAACAAAGGUUAAAUCAGAGAACAAUGGACCGUGAUAUAGCAUUGUGGAAGGGGAAAAAUGGCUGCUUUCGUAAGAAGUUUAUAACAGGAGAAACAUGCUCGUUGCUACGUAUUGCUAAGCCACCGAUGGAGGGACAUAAGGAGAUAUGGUUCUCUUACGCAACUCCUAAAUAUGCAUUUCUUACUUGGCUGGUGUUGAAAAACAGAAUCUCAACGGGGGAGAGAAUGGUGAAAUGGAAUAGUAAUGUGAAUCCAAGUUGUGUUUUUUGUAAUGUACAGAUGGAGACAAGGGAACACCUAUUCUUUACAUGUCAUUACUCCAAACAGAUUUGGAGGACUUUGGCAAAGGGGAUCCUCUUAAACAGAUUCUCGGAGUGUUGGAGAGAGAUAUUGAAGAUCCUAGCAGAAAACGUACUUGACAAAACAAAGAGCUUCUUGCUAAGGUAUAUUUUCCAGAACUCCAUACAUUCGAUUUGGUGUGAACGGAAUAGAAGAAGGCACGGAGAGCAGCCCUCAUCGAUAGAGGUACUUGUGAAGAUGAUAGAUAAAAAUGUCCGAAACCGGUUGUGCACUAUCCAAGGAGGUGGCGACUUGAGAUUUGAAGGUGGCAUCCAAGUUUGGUUUGAAUCAAGGCAAUAGAGUUUACACGAUAAAAAGUUCUAUUCAAUUUGUUUUUGAAAAAGUUAGCAUUCUAUAUGUAUAAACGUUUAUUUUUCUUUUGAAUAUAAUUUAACAUUAAAUUCAAAAAAAAAAAAGUGAUUAAAUUGAUUUUUUUUUUCAUCUGGUAGAAGUUUAAUAAAAGAGGAACCAAGUUACAAAGUCGGCGAUUAAAAACAUAAUCCCGAAAACUAAGCCAACGGAUACAACACAUCCCCGGAAACUAAGCCGACGGAUAACAGGAUAUCCUCGGAAACUAAGCCCAAAAAGUGGGAUUCUAACAACAAUACUAGAAAUGAACAACAAUGCCAAAACAAAGAAGGCAACGAAGCACAAAGAACAUGAAAUACAACUCUAACUCAGAAUCUAGCACAACACACAUUGCCUACCAUCAAACCAACAAAGAGUAAAGCUUGAAGUAGUGGCUAACCGAUGGAGACAAGAAAAUCUACGACACCGGACAACGGCUCCUCCUAUAACAAUGAAAACUACCUCACAAAUUAUAGAGAACUAAAGCAUAUUUACUAGCAAGUAGAGAACAAGAACUCAAACACAACUCCUUGGAACGGCGAAUUUGAGGCAAGCGAAAUAACCACGAAAUGAUUACGCCAAGAAAGAUAACAAUGCAAUAGAGACCUCGAUCAGGUCUUGACCGUAGAGACAAGGACCGAACCCAAAAUCAUCCGCAUCAAACCGAAAACUGGAGGCGGUAAGAACGCGAACCGGAUCAAUAAACAAGCAUACUUAGCUGAACAGAGAAUAGGCAAGAGAACAACAAACUAGACCACAAAUACAGAUCCAAUUCCAAGACAGCACCAAAGAAACCAACGAUGAAGGCACAAAGACAAAGACCCAAAAGAGAAUUGAAGAGAAAAUGUAACCAACGGAUACGACAAUUCACAAAACGGCAUGGAGACAAAACGAUUCAGUACACAUACACAAGGUUUGAAAUUUAAGUAAGGAGACCCGUAGAUCGAAUAAAUCCGGCGUCACCCUCCUCGAACCAAAACAAACCACGAUCAGGAGAUCCACCGCAAAGCUUCCAUCAUGAGCGAAGAGGCAGAUCCGAAACAGAUUCGUCCCUGCAACUUGACAAAGACCAACCCGCCAUGAGUCACACCAACGCACAAAUAGCAGACCAUAGACCAAAGUUUCCGGUGACAAAAGGCCACUUUUAACCAGAUCUGAGAAUCAAAGACGGCCAAACCAUCUCGCCAAAGCCACCGUGCAAACACCGCCAAGGAAACAAAGACCAGAAACAAAAACUAAGGGAAAAAGAGAAACGUGACCGACGCCGGAGCUAAGUAAGCCACCACGCGCCGGUCAAAAUUCAGCCAAAUACGAAAAGACGAAGGAGGCGACGAUUAGGUCACGAGAGGAAAAAAUAGAAAACGGUCGUACGUGAUUAAAUUGAUUAGUUAAAUAAUUUUUAUUAAUCUAUAUAUAAUUAUAUUUAUAUUUAUAAUUUAUAAUGGAUGUACUCUAUAUAGUUACUAAUAAUGUUAAAAGGGGUUAAGAGCCUGCAGACCCAAACAUGCUUUUUGUAAAACUUUAGGCCUAUGCCCGUUUAUUUACACUAUAGAAUAAAGCAUUUUUUGCAAAAAAUCUCUCCAACUCGCCAAUUUUUGCAACUUUACUCUCAUUCUCCUAAAAAUAUGUUGGGGUCGGAUCCCACACAUCUUCGGUAGGAUCCACUUGGAUCUGUCCACGUCAUUUUUACAUAAUAAUCCUCUUGGAUUUCUAGAUGUUUCAUUGCGAGAAUCGAGCUCGACCUGUCGGAAGUUCGAUUCAGUUUAUUAAAGAGCUCGAUCUUUACCAGUACGGAGUUCGCUCUUAUUCAACAUAUAGUUCGCAUAAAGGAAGGCCGAAGCGAGGAGAAUAUUAUUCGAGGUUCGCGGCAGCGUCAAGACGCUGGAGUUCGGAGUCAACAAGAAAGAGUUCGGAAGAUCCACGCGAAGCCCAAGAUAAUUCAAAUUCAAGCCGUUUCGGUCAAAUUGUAACCUACAUGAUUAAUGCGGAUCAAUGCGAUUAUGAGCAGUAAAUGACCGCAUUGAUCAUGUUUUCUCUAUAAAAACAACCUCAAACGCAUGUGUUUGGGGGGAGAACAACCUUUUACCUCAUACCAUCAAGCAAUACAACAUACUCUUUCUUUUACAAUUUCGCAAGGCUUUUUACUAUUUUAUUCUUGCCAAACUCUUUCGCUUUAUUUAGUUUCUUGGUCACUUUCCUUUUCAAAUCCUUAUUUUCAUUUGUUGAUUUUAGAGUUUUUCUCCACAAAAAUACUUAAAGACAAUCGAGUGUGAAUCCUACAUCCACAUUUUGGCGCCGUCUGUGGGGAGUUACCGCAAAACUCUUUAAUCUCAGAGUCUUUCUUUUCCAAACCAAGAAACUAUGGCUGAUCAGCAAGCUUUGAGCAAUGCAAUUUCCUUGCUUACUCAGUCAACCACCGAUCUGACCAAUCAAAUGGGUACACUCGCUAGUGCCAACGCCACUUUUAGUGAAAGGUUGAACUCAAUCGAGCAAACCUUAGCGAGUGUUCAAAAUACUCAAACAAAUUUGUCAAACGCGCAUAACGUUGUUUCAAGCCGUUUAGAUAAUUUGUCCUCAGCGCAAACGACAGCGUAUCAGCGCAGGCUAUUCCAGACUCCCACACAAAACAGAUCCGGAAGCACUCAAAUUCCUCCUACAGGCCGUCUUGCUAGUACUAGCAAUCAGACUACCGUAGGAGAUGGGUCCAAUCCAACCAGGGAUGAAAAUCCCCAAAAUCAGGGCAAUCCUGCUAUUGACGAAGGACUCCUUAUGGAAGAACCUGAUGUCAUCCUCUCCGAUGAUUUCGCAAAGUUCGUCAAGAACUUGAUGAGAUUAAGUCGAAGUUUCAUCAGGCGACCAGUUCGGCACCUGAGAUCGAUCGAGUAAUCGAAGAAACUCGACGAACACCCUUCACUUCGAGAAUCUCGAACCUUCGGAUCAAAGAUUCUCGAAAGGUCAAAUUACCAACCUACGAUGGUAAAUGUGAUCCUAAAAAUCACCUCGCUGCUUUUCAGAUCGCCGCUGGCAGAAUUGAUCUAGAACCAGACGAGGAAGAUGCCGGAUAUUGCAAACUAUUCUCUGAAAAUCUAUCCGGAUUGGCUUUAUUAUGGUUCACUCAGUUGGAGCCUGAAUCUAUUGAUUGUUUUAAGGAAUUGUCCUCCGCAUUCCUAAAACAGUAUUCCAUGUUCAUGGAAAAGGCAACUUCUGAUGCAGAUCUAUGGAAUUUAACCCAAGGUUAGAACGAACCACUUCGCAAAUAUAUCGCAAAAUUCAAAGAAGUGAUAGCCAAAAUUCCUGGGGUAUCGCACGCUGCUGCCCUUUCUGCUUUAAGGAACGGACUUUGGCAUGAAUCUCGAUUUCGUGAAGAAAUCAUCGUCAAUCUUCCGAGCACUAUCCAAGAUGCUUUAUUCAGAGCUACUAAUUGGAUGGAGGCAGAAGAAGAAAAGCUUAGCCUCGCUAAAAAGCAUCGGCCAGCAAAAUUGGUCAUUGGAAAUCCAACUAAAAAAUUUGAACCAAAAGAUCAAAAACGGUUCGGAAUUAAUCCUGCUACUAAUGUCGUAGGAAAACCCUCCCCAAACAAAGGAAGAUACAAUUCUUCUAAUACCUGGGUUAGAGAUGAGAGUGCCUAUUGCGAUAUUCAUAGAGUAAAUGGGCAUUCCACCAAAGAUUGCAGCGUGCUCAAAAAGCACCUCACCGAACUGUGGGCGGCUGGAGAGCUCGCUAAUUUCAAUAUCGAGGAGUUUGUGGAAUCUUAUCAUAAAGAAAAAGAAGAUUCCGAAGCGUCCAAUCCUCCUGAAAAGAAACAUAAGCCCAAUGGGCCCGGAACUCCGAACACUCCUAAGAAAAGGAUCGAUGUUAUAAUGGGAGGAUCCAAAUAAUGCCGAGAUUCGAUCAGAUCAAUCAAAAGGCACAAAAAAUCAGCAGCAAUUCAAACCGCUGUGGGUUUCCAAUCAAAUGAACAAACACAUUCUAUCUCUUUUGAUAAUUCGGACACUCAAUGAUUAACAGGACCUCAUGACGAUGCUCUUGUGAUAACUUUAGAUGUUGUGAACUUCGAAGUAACUAGGUGUCUAAUUGAUACUGGAAGCUCGGUAGAUCUCAUAUUUCUAAGCACUUUGCAAAGAAUGGGAAUCAGUAAGGCUGACAUUAUCGGUCCACCGGCACCAUUAGUAGCUUUCACGAGUGACACAUCUAUGUCCUUGGGAAACAUAAAACUACCAGUGCUCGCCGCAGGGGUUCCUAAAAUUGUAGAAUUUAUUGUUUUCGACCGUCCGGCCGCUUACAACAUAAUUUUCGGAACUCUGUGGAUUUACCAAAUGAAGGCUAUACCUUCAACUUAUCACCAGUGUGUGAAAUUUCUGACUCCUGCAGGAAUCGGAACCAUUCGAGGAGAUCAGGAAAUGUCACGAUCUUGCUACCUCAUGGGACAUCGUUUAAAGCUUAAAUAGCAAUUAAUGAUAAACGCAAAGCAAGAAAUCACUUCGCGUUACCCAAGUGGUCUCAGUUCGAGUGAAGUUACCACAGAAAUUGAAAUUGAUUCCGAAUUUCCAGAUCGAAAAGUAAAAAUCGGUACUACUUUAGAUUCAGAAAUCAAAGAUCAGUUGGUAACAUUUCUAAAAGAAAAUAAACAUACUUUUGCCUGGUCGGCGAAAGAUAUGCCUGGAAUUGACAAAAAUAUCAUUACCCAUGAUUUAAACGUCGAUCCCAGUUUUAAACCAAUACAGCAAAAAAGAAGAAAACUUGGUCCAGACCGUGCUCAAGCGGUCAAUGACGAAGUUGAUAAGCUUUUGAAAAUUGGUUCCAUCAGAGAAGAGAAAUACCCGGACUGGUUAGCAAACCCCGUGGUAGUAAAAAAAAAAACGGAAAGUGGAGAGUAUGCGUCGAUUUCACCGACAUUACCAAAGCUUGCCCAAAAGAUAGCUUUCCUCUCCCACAUAUCGAUCGGCUCGUUGAGUCAACAGACGGAAACGAACUCUUAACAUUUAUGGAUGCAUUCUCUGGAUAUAAUCAGAUCAUGAUGAAUCCCGAAGAUGAAGAGAAAACAUCCUUCAUAACAGAUAGAGGAAUCUACUGUUACAAAGUUAUGCCAUUUGGUCUAAAAAAUGCCGGUGCAACAUACCAAUGUUUAGUUAACAAAAUGUUUUCAGAACAUUUGGGCAAAACGAUGGAAGUGUAUAUUGAUGAUAUGCUCGUGAAAUCUCUUAAGAAAUAUGAGCACAUCACUCAUCUUGAGCAGUGUUUCAAAAUUCUGAAUGAUUUCGGAAUGAAAUUAAAUCCUGUCAAAUAUUCUUCUGGUGUGCCUUCCGAAGAAUUCCUAGGCUAUAUAGUCACGGCAAGAGGAAUAGAAGCAAAUCCUAAUCAGAUUAACGCUUUCCUUACUAUGCUUUCGCCAAGAAACAUUAAGGAAGUUCAACGAUUGACAGGCAGAAUUGCUGCAUUAAAUCGUUUCAUAUCGAAGUCUACCGAUAAAUGUCUCCCCUUUUAUCAAAUUUUGAAAGGGAACAAAAAAUUUCGGUGGAAUGAUCAAUGCGAAGCAGCAUUUGGUCAACUCAAAACUUAUUUGACAACACCGCCGGUUCUCUCAAAACCUGAAUCGGAUGAAAAACUUUACCUUUACAUCUCGGUUUCUAAUCAUUCUGUAAGUGGGUUUUUAGUUCGAGAGGACCGAGGUGAGGAAAAGCCGAUUUUCUACAUAAGUAAAUCUCUUACUAGUCCAAAAACGAGAUAUACCAUGAUGGAAAAAUUAGUUUUAGCAGUGGUCAUAUCUGCUAGAAAACUCAGACCUUAUUUCCAAUCUCAUCCGAUAGAAGUUUUAACUUCUCAUCCACUUCGCUCAAUUCUUCACGGUCCAAGUCAGUCCGGAAGAUUGGCGAAAUGGGCAAUCGAACUCAGUGUGUACGAUAUAGAAUACAAACUUUGGACUAGCGCAAAAGCACAAGUCCUGGCUGAUUUUCUAACCGAACUACCAUUAGAUGAUGGAAUCUUUGUUGAAACGGACUCUACAUGGAAAUUACAUGUAGAUGGAUCUUCUUCUAAACAAGGAUCCGUAAUCGGCAUUAGGCUCGAAACUCUGACAAAGGAAAUAAUCGAGCAAUCAUUUCGAUUAAUGUUUCCAGCUUCGAACAAUGAAGCAAAGUACGAAGCUCUUUUAGCAGGACUUCGGCUUGCUCUUGCUAUUGGAGCAGAAAAAAUAAUAGCUUAUUGUGAUUCGCAGCUAGUUGUAAACCAGUUUGCUGGAGAUUACGAAGCUAAGGCUCCUCGAAUGGAAGCCUAUAUUUCGGCUGUCAAAAUAUUAGCCAGAAAAUUCAAAGAAUUUGAAUUAGUUCGAAUACCUAGAGGAGAAAACACUUCGGCAGACGCUUUAGCGGCCCUAGCUUCUACCUCAGAUCCUGAACUCAAACGAGUUAUCCCAGUUGAAUGUAUUUCUUCGCGAUGUAUUUCAGUUGAAGAAACAGAAAACAAUAACAUUUCGGAGGCCGAAUACAUCGAAACUCCAAAACAAAGUUCCGGAAAUAGUUCACUCGUCAUCACCAGAUCACGGAUAAAGUCUCAAGAUGACGAACUUACUCCACCAUUGGAACUUCCUAAAAGAAAGUCAAAAAGAAAGUUAAAGGAUCAAGAGGUUCCCAUUAAAGAACCGUCUCGAACCGAACAGUCACUUCCAGGUGAUGUAGAGGUUCAGGAGACAAUCGAAGAUCCCGAUAUUCCUUCUGAACCCAAACCAAGGAAGUUUAUACUCAAGGAUAAUACUUCCGCUAAUGAUUGGGGGGCUGACUGGAGGGUACCCAUCAAAAUUUUCAUUCUUAAUAGAGAACUACCAUCUAACAAAUGGCAAGCUCGCAAAUUAAAAAUCAUCAGCGCUAAGUAUUGUAUGAUUAAAGAGUCAUUGUACAAGCGAGGCGUCAGUGAUCCUUAUCUUUUAUGUAUUUUCGGACCCGAAGUUGAAAUAGUGACAAGCGAGGUCCACGAAGGGCUUUGUGGUAGUCAUUCUUCGGGACGAGCAAUGGCUUUCAAAAUCAAACAGUUAGGAUAUUUCUGGCCAACUAUGAUUUCAGACUGCAUUGAUUACGCCAAACGGUGUAAAGAGUGUCAGAUGCACGCUCCUCUUAUUCACCAGCCAUCUGAAAUUUUAUCACAUAUAUCCGCUCCAUACCCUUUCAUGAGGUGGUCAAUGGAUAUAAUCGGUCCGAUGCAUCGUUCAACACGAGGCGUCCAAUACUUAUUAGUUCUAACGGACUAUUUUUCCAAAUAGAUUGAAGCUGAAGCUUAUAUAAGCAUACAAGAUUCCGUAGUAAAGACAUUCUUGUGGAAACACAUUAUUUGUCGCUAUGGAAUUCCUUACGAAAUAGUAACGGACAAUGGUCCUCAAUUCAUUUCAAAUGAUUUUGAAGAUUUUUGUUCCGCUUGGGGAAUAAAACUUAGCUACUCAACGCCGAGGUAUCCUCAACGAAAUAGACAAGCGGAAGCCUCCAAUAAAACCAUUCUCAGCAAUCUUAAAAUACGCUUGAGUGCUCGAAAAGGUGGAUGGUAUGACGAGCUGCAACCUGUGUUGUGGGCUUAUCGAACAACCCCGAGGCGAGCAACGGGUGAAACUCCAUUCUAAUUAGUUUAUGGGAUGGAAGCCGUAGUCCCAGCCGAGCUGAAUAUUCCAGGUUUGCGCCGAAGCGAAGCUCCACUUAACGAAGAAUCGAAUUCUAAAUUAUUAGAAGACGUUCUUGAUACAAUCGAUGAAAGGCGAGACCAAUCCCUUAUUCGACUUCAGAAUUAUCAACAGUUGACCGCACGAUACUAUAACUAAAAGUUGAAAAACAGACCUUUAAAUGUAGGAGACUUUGUUUUAAGGCGAGUGUUCGAUAACACAAAAGAAGAAGGAGCUGGAAAACUCGGUAUUAACUGGGAAGGCCCUUAUCAAAUCACUGAAAAAAUCCGAAACGGUAUAUACCGUUUACAAGACCUUGGUGGAAAUCCCGUUCAAAGGCCUUGGAACAUAAUCAACUUGAAAAAGUUCUAUUGCUAAAGCAAACACAUUCGAACUACGAUUUGGCUUUAUCCUAUUUUGGGUACGUAGGCAGCUCGCUAAUCACGAGUCCAGCUAUAAUAUAAAAAUAAAAAUAUUAUUCCGGUCAUGGAAUCUUGUUUUUAUAUUCGAGCAUUAAUAUAAAAAUAUAUUGCGAACGAUGUCUAAAUAUUUCUAGGUAAGACCGGAUCUAGAAAGGUCUUGAGUUACAGAACAACUCCGCUCCUUGACCAGCGAGGUCAACGAUGCUAAUAAUACAACCUGGCAUGUUUCCGUACUCCUGAAGUCCUAGUUCGAUCCAAUCGGAAGGAUGGGCUUCGAGGCGAUGAAGCUCGCGAGAUAUAUCGAGGCGACGCUUCUCUAGCUCCAUUAUCCGUUUCCUAAUCUUUUUCUUCUCAUCUUCGAGCUCGUCAUGCCGAGUGAUAAGCUGAAGAAAAUAAAACGCUACGUUUAGCAAUAACAAAAAGAAGUUAAUCACUAGGAUGGAAAAUACCUUAUUGAUAAACUCCUCAGCCUUAACACGAUCUUGAGGCGACAAUCUCUCGAUUAAAACGAUCGGAACCUGAAUGCUGGUUCCCUUCUUCAAUAUUUGUGAAUCUUGUGGUUCGCCAGACUCUCCUGCUUUUAUAAGCUCGAUGUCCGACGUCCUCGAAGGAUCAACACUCAUCACUUUGAACGAGUCUGAAGGAUUCUCUGAUGAAUUACCUCCCUUGAACAUUUUUGUAGAAUUGUUGUUGAAAUUCAAUGACAGACUACACCCACUUUAUACUCGAAAAUUUAUUCGAUUGCAUUUAAGAGGAUUAAUUGACGAUUUCCCAAAUCUGAAAUUACGACUUUCAUGGAAAAUGUAAUCGAGUUAAUUGCUAAUUAUAUUCCCUAGAUAUAGCGCAUUGAAUAAGAUUUGAAUAAUCGGCAAAUUUAAAGCGAAAUGGGAAAUGUAAUUAAUGUUGCUGGGUUUCAAGACCAGCGACAUUUUACAAACAUAAAUAGAAAAGUGUUCGAUCAAAAAUCUUCGCCCGAUAAUGACUCCAGCGAGGUGGAAGAUCCCGAACAGCUUUCCGAGGAUAGUCCCUCGUCAGAAGAUAAAUCAGGAUUGUCAUCGAAGACAUCGUCUUCAUCACCAUCAAAGAUUUGUUCUCCCUGUCUUGGCAAAUUCGGAGCUCUGUUAUGUGUUUGAAGGACCUCUUGGACUGUAGUCUCAACAGUGGCACGCAUCGUCUCACGCCAAUUCUGCUGGAAUUCAGCCAUCAUUCCUCGAAACGCUUCGUUCUGCUCUUCAAGUUGUUGUUGCAGGGUUCUCUUUGGAGGCAUGAUUAGGACCGGUUCGUCUCUGAUACCAACUAAUGCAGGGGCUAAAUACGAUUGGAGUCUCGAGUAUCAAUGGAUCACGAGGCUAAGCAAUCGCAGCUAAGAUUCUUCUUUCUACAAAUAUCAAUGGAUCUUGAGGAGAAGGAGAAUACAAAGACUUGGAGAGAAAACAGAGUUCUCAAAGAAGUUUAUUAAAUCAAAAGCUGCUGAACUACAAAGGGUUCGAGUCCUUUAUAAAGGCUCGACUCUAAACGUGAAGAAGGGGUAAAACACCAAACCCUAGAACUAAUCCCCUUAAGACAUAAUUAAUAGUAAAAGCCCAAAACUUAGAUAAGAAGUAAUAAUUGUAAUCAAAACAAUAAAGCCCACGAAGAUAUGCUGCAUCACUCUCUUUCCAUCCUCUUUAUGCGCUCAUCAAGAGCACGACGUCUCCUUCCGAUUCUUUGUCUCUUAUCACAUAAAGCUUUGUGUCUCCCGACGAUCUGUUCACUACAGGAAAAACGGCUUUUCGUAGCAUCCGAAUAACGCUAUCUAACGUUUCUAUAGCGUUUUGACAAGCGCUAUUUCUGCGCCCGUCAUAGUAGGUCAGACACUUUAGAUAGCGCUUUUACGUAAUGCUAUUAUAUGUUUCUAUACAAUAGCGCUUUAUGAAAUGUAAUUAAAUAUAUUAGUAAUAUUAUUAACAACGUUUUGGGCAGUGUUAUGUGUAUUAUUAAUUUAUUAUAGCAUUAUAUUAGUGUUUCUAUAUUUUUAUAUUAUACCAAUUUGAAUAGAUAUAAAAUAUUAAAAUCUGGUUAUACUUAAAACAAAUACUCAUUAAAUUUUUUGUCCCAAAAGAUACAAUAAGGUUCUACAUUUAAAAACACUUAGUUCAAACUACUUCAUAAAAACCAAAUCACAUGAAUACAAUCUUGUCAUUAGGCCAAGCCACUGUGGUUCCUAUUGCAUCAGCAAUGAAUUUAACUUCAGAUUUUGCUCUCCACACUCGUGCACCAUCAACCUUGGAAACCUCUACCCAGACCUUGCUAGCGUUGGCACCUAAAGGGACGUGAUGGACCUUCUCUGUUGGAUCAGUUGAAGACACCCGACCUAUUGCAACUCUCUGCCCAGAGUUAUCAAUAUCUAAUAGAAUACACUUAUGUUUAGCACCUUUGCUAGUAGCAGUGCUGGGAGUAGUAGCACUGAGAGUAGUAGCACUCUAAAAUCAAAAAUUAUGAACUACAUCAGACUAACAUCACAGCAACAUCAACACAUCCAAUACAACAUGUGACUAUCCUAAGAUAUCCAAGUUUAAGUAUUCAUACCAAUUAAAUUAAAAGCUAGUUGCAGAAACUUACUUGAGGUGAUUUUCUAGUUGAUUCAUCAGGUACAUCAACCAGCUGUAUCCUAUCAAUAGGCCAUGCGAUGGUCUCAUUUAGUGCAUCACUCAUCAAUGAGAUUGGAGGAUUUGGUCUCCACAAAUAAGCAUCAGGUUUAACCACCUCCAGGAUCUUAACAACUGCAGCACCAUGGCCUAGAGGUCUACCAUCCACCAAUUCGUUAUGGUCAGUUGACAACAACAUACCCUCAGCAAUCAAUUCAUCAUCUCCACUCCAAUAUUGAUAGAUGUGAACUCUUCCUAUUGAUGCAUCUGUUGGCUAAUAAGUCAUGCAAAUAUAUAUCUAUAUUAGUACUCUAAUCAAUAUUGAAUAUAAGUGGAACUCAAUAGUAGUUGUAAUUUACCUGCUCUGAUCCGACAGUGUUAGUAGGUUGGGACAAGUUAAUAUCGUCAUCCAAUAUAAUCUUGUCAGCUGGCCAUGCAAUUUUAUGUCCAACAGCCUCACCAAGUGUGAAAAUGGUUGGAGUAGGUCUCCAGACAGAUGCAUUUAUAACAGAUGUUGACUUCACAAGUACAGCAGCUGCAUUGCGACCUAAUGGUAUUCGACCAAUCUUAUAUAUGUGUUCACUGGAGCAAAAAUCUCCUUCAGCAACAACCACCUCAUCAUUUGAACACCAAUCUAGAAGCUGGCACCUUACUCCUUCUUUGCUAACAUUGCUUAAUUCUGACAUAGUAACAUCGUCAUUCUGUCUCUGCAAGGACCAAAACACACAUAAUUAACCAAAACUUAUAUAAGUUGGCAUUGUGAAACAAUGAGUGCCAAAAGUUUUACCUUUUUACUAGCUAAGUCUUUAACCACAUUUUGCAAAUUUUCAAGCUUGCUUUGCAAUUCUGCUUGACUAGCUUCAAGCUUCUGGACAUGUGAGUCUCUAGUCUGUAAGAAUGCUAACUUAGUAACAGUUGCGCCUCUGCCCAUCCCCCUAACUCUUCCUGGUCUGUCUUUUCCUAGUACCUGACUCACAGCAUCUUCCCUAACAUUAUCCGUACAUGUGGUGAAGUCCAUUUCACUAUCAAUUGUCUUGAUCAUUUCCUGUCACCAAAUUUUAUAUUCACAAUAUAAAGAAAUAAUAUUUAAAGCAACUUGAAGAACAAUUUAGUAAGAUUUUAUGUGUACUUACAAUAGUUUCUGCAAAUUCUUCUCUCAUAGGUCUCCCAUCAGAAUGUGUAUGUCCUGCUAUCCACACCUUACUUCUUGUGACUUUUCUAGGAUCAGAAAUGUUUUUUUUCUACAAGCUCAUGCACAUAUACCAUCUCAUUAGUAAAUUACUAAUAGAACUAUACAAACUCAAAACAAAAUACAUACCAUCUCGUCAGCUAAGCGAGUCAUUCCUUUGCGGCUGGUAGUGUGAGGAAUUUGACCCUUCCUCAGCUGCCUGUAUUUUUCACUUCGUUCCUAUAAACAAAAAGAGUCAGAUGACUAUAACUACUUAAAGGAAAAUUUAUCUUAGGACAGUAAACAAUAACCUUAAAAGCUGUUGUGCAUUUGUUCUUCACCCAACUGUUCCAAGCUGAUGUACAUUGGAUGUUGCUAGGCUUCAUUUGCUGUAGAGCAACUUUGCUUUUAGUAGUUCUAACUUUAGUAACAAGCUUAGAUUUGGCAGCCCUCCACAGACCACCCAUUUGCCUAAAUAGUGCUUCUUUCUGCCAAUCUUCUUUGAUAUUGAACCUCCCCUGUCAAACAUUACCAUGUUUAGACAUAAAAAAACACUCCAAUAUAACUUUUAUUCAAGAAAAAAGUUCAUAAUAACCUGAAUUUCUUCCCACAUUACGUCUUUUGUCCUUUGAUCAAGCUGUCUCCAGUCAUCUAGUAGUACAGGCACAUGCUCUCUCACUAGAGGACCAAGGAAAGAGGAGAGUGUCACUGAUCCCUUACCAACAUGCUCACCAAGAGCAUUAAACUCCACUUCUACCUUUUCCUCAAGAUUCUUUGCCACUUUGCGCAUUCUAGUUGGACCUCUUGACUUCCUUUUUUUGGUGUCUGAUUGGUGUGUCUGUGUUUCAGAGGCACCUGCAGUGGAUGGAGGGAUUGGCUGGGGUGAGUGUUCUUCUAGUUCUUCAUUACCUCUUUCUUUCUCUUGUGAUUGACCAUUGUCUUGUUCUUCAUUAACUUCUGCUUUAUUCUCUUGUUCUCCAAUAUCUUCUUCUCCAAUAUCUUCUUCCUCUACACGAUCUUCUCCUUCAUUAGCCACUUCUAUUCUCUCAUCAGUCUCAUCUCUUUCAUUCUCUUCAAUGAUAGUCUUCUUGUUUCUCUUCUUCUUCUUCAAUGACACUACAGGAGUGACAUCAAGGCCUGCCUGGCGCUUACUGCGACGGAUUUCACCUACAGUUUUCAUUGUCUUUGAUUACCUGAAACAAAAAGAAAGAUUUUAAUUAGUCCUCUACUAUUACACCUUCACAAUCAGACCUAACACAAAAACUCUCGUCAUCAGAUGAUUGAUCUCCUAAAUCUUCAAUUGGCUGGACUGAUAAUGGUGCAGAAACAAACUCCUCUACUGUUUCUAGCUCAUGGUAUCCUCUUGGUGGCGCCCUCAUACAAACAUACCAAGGUGAGCAAUCAUCUUCUCUAGAGUAAAAAACUUGUUUAGCCUGCGAUGCCAGAAUGAAAGGAUCAUUUAAGAAUGCUGACUGGUUCAUAUGGAGAUUGACUAGUGUGAAACCAUCUUCCUCUUUCACUCCAUUCCCUUUGUUAGCCCAAAUACACCUAAAAAGUGGAAUCUGGAACAUUUGGUAGUCCACCAUCAAGAUCUCUUUUAUCACUCCAUAAAAUGAUACUAUGUCAGCCAUUUGUCUAGUAUCUUUAGCACUUGAUCUACACAUAGAAAAUGCUUCAUAAUUUACUCCACUAUUCUAGGUUUUCCUCUUGACAUCAUCAGUGUGGAACCGCUGACCAUUAAUUAUAUACCCCUUGUAAGUUUGAGCAAUAUGUCUUGGUCCAAAAGCAAGCCAUCUCAGCCUACUAGAAUGCUCUUUUGAAUUACUUGGUAUCUAACAUGAAACAUAGAAAAUUUCAUUACAUGAUAUAGAAAACAAUUCAGUAACAAUAAAUAAAAUAACUACAUAAUUGACAUUCUUCUAACCUUAUCUUUGAUCCAUUGUGGGAACCUUUCUGUGUGAUAUUUCCACAAUAGUGUUUCAUUCUUUGCACAUCUUGCAUCUGUAGCUUGCAGUUCUUCCAAAUGCAACCUGUUUUCAAUAAAGUUAGUCUCUGUUACACUUUAACCAUCAAGUUUUGAAAUAUAAAAUCUCUAUCAGCUAUGUAUUAAAUCUCUAUCAAAUAAAUAUUGAACAAACAUUUUGUCAAAUGACCAAAAGAAAAGAAGUGAUAGUUUUCUGAGAAGACUAAGAGUUAGAAAAUGAACCUUUUCCAGAAAGUCAUAACAUUUGACCCUUUUCUUCCCUGUUCGGAAAUGAAAAAACGUUGGGUGAAUAACUCCCUUUGGAGAGAAUCCGUCUUCGGACUCAAACAAUGGGUUCCCACUUGAAGUUGUUAUUCUUGAGCUUGAUCUGAAAUAAGACAGCGGCAUUUUUCAAGUUUUUUUUUUUAUAAUAAAGUAUGGUGAUCUUUCGGAAUUCCUUUUAAAGGAGAAAGAGGUUCAGUUUUCUAAAAAUAAUUAUAUAUUGUUGGCCUGUUAGAGCUGGCUUCAGAUCCAAUUAAAACGCGGCCCAGCGAUUCCAAAGCCAUCAUGGGCAAUGAUCGAAACCAUUGCCUGGUCAUAUUUAUGACAAAAUUCUCAUGAAUUAUAAAUCUUAUCCCUCGAUAUAAAAAAACUUAAGCCGACCUCCAUCCUCGCCUUCGAGAGACCGAGGAAAAAUACUUAUUAAGAUUUUUUCUUUAAAAAAGGCAAGUGAGCCUGAUCAGCUCAUCUCUCACAAUUCGUAAAACCUCUUUGGCGGGCUAGGACUUGCAAACCUAGAAUCGUGUCCAAACGUUUUUGCUAUAAAAAAAAAAACCAUAUGCCAGAGCAUGUACAUGGUUGUGUUCAGUCACAUUAAUUGAACAAAAUAUUUCCAUCAAACGGAAUAAUCCUCAUGGACUCAACAAAACAAUUCUUUAAAAAAAAAAAAGAGCGUUCCUACACCUCUGGAGAACCUUCCCCUACCUCGAAUUGAGAUGGGGAAUCUCCAAAUACCAAAGAAAAUUGUUUCAGAUCGAGAGUAGGACGGGAAGCCGAGGAUAACUCGGACUCAACCAUAGCGAGUUCAGCAGCAACUUCGCUCCUCUCGUUCUCGAACGAAACUCUUCCAGCCUCUAGUUCCUUAAUCAGGUCUAGAUUGCUCUUCAGUUCGGCUCGAUCUGUUACAAGUUUAGUCUAGACCUCUUCGUCCUUGAUGAACUUCGUAACAUAUUGAAUAAGUUGCCUACCGAAUCCCCUCAUCUCUUCUCGAGCAUUAUGUUCGGCUUCAGCAAUAUCGCGAGCCCUGUUCCUGGUUAAAAGCUCGAUCUCUUGAUUUGCUUCUUCGAACAAAGCCGUAUUCUCCUCUAGCUCAGCCUCCAAGCGAAGAGCAUUGGACCUCGCAGAAUCUCUUUCAGCAUUCGCAAUUCUGAUGUGUUGCUCGUUAGCUGCUAGAGUUUUCUUCAUAUUUUCAAAAGAUGACUCGAGUGCUUUUUCCCGCUCAAGUCGCUCAGAUUGGUUGGCUGAUCUAAGUUCAUCAACCUCCUUCUUAGCCUUUGCGGUCUCUCUCUUCGCUUGAUGAAGAAGGUUCUCAUAAUGGAAGAUCAUUCCAUUAGUCUCCAUAAACGGCUUCGGAGUAAAAAAAAGAAAAAACUUGUCAUUUAGACAAAAAGCUUUUACUUAAGGAAGGGAGGUUGUCAUAAUCUAAAAGAUCCGAACCUGGGAUAGGUAGCAAGCUCGAUUGGCGAACAUCUGACGGAUUUCCGGCCUCCAAACCGAAAAAGGAGGAAGCGACGCCCCUUCCCUGGUUUGGAAACUUCGGAAGAUGUCUCCAAUGUCUUCUCCGCCUGUGAAGCAGAGGAGAAUAACAGAUUAAUAAAAUAGAUGCAAUCUGUAGCAAGUUUUGCUAAUGCUCGCUUUCUAAGUAAAAACUUACCUGAAAUCGAAGCGGGUAAAGGAUUUUGAGUCCUAACACUCAGUCCUUGAGAUAGGGGAGCCUCCGGUCUCGGUUCAUCUAUCUCCUCUAAAAUUACUCUGUCUCCCGGAAGAGGGAGCUUGGAGUUUAAAGGUUCUGAAGAGGGAGAAACAGAACAUAGAGAGCUAGAGACUCGUGGCGGAGAACUUAAUCUCACGGUUUUAAGUCUCUCGUUUGAUAGAUUAUCGGAAUCUGGAGCCUUCCUCUUUAUACAAGGAGAAGAGGUUAUUUCUCCCUCACACCCUGGUUCGGAAGGGCAAAUUGCGGUGGCAACUGGAGGGUCGUUAAGGAUCUCGGCUCCAUGAGUAUCCACCGUGACUGACAGGGCUGCUUUUAAUGAACCAUCAUCAACCAAGAGGGACUUCCUGUGGAAGUUACCAACCCUGGAGAUUGCAGCUAUCCGUUUCUUUCUCUCGAUUUUGGAUAGCUGAUCCUUAAGAGCCUUGAUUUCGGCCUGUAUCUUUCUUUUUGUCUCGAGCAUUCAGGCUCGAGACGUCUUUCUCCUCGGGAGGAGGAUCGAGGGGGUGAGUCUGACCGUCUUUAAUGGCGAGCCCCGCUUUAUGAAUGCGUUGAAGGGUGAAGGAAUUCCGAUUUGUUUCACCCUCGGAAACAAUUCGAAAGAAGGACAAGAAGUCAACGGUCGGGCGGGGGAUCGUCUGGUUCCCUGAAACAAAGUAUUGAGUUAAGAAUUCUAUCUCUUUUACAUAAUACAGUGGAAAGUAAUAAAGGUUGGAUUUUUAACUAAGUUUAGCCGACCAAUUGGCGAGAAGAAGACCGGAAAGACCUUGAACGGAAUGGGGAUUGACUCGGAAAAAGAACUAGUAUUUCCUCCAAGGCCUAUCAUUCGAGGGCAUUCCGUCGAUCAGGUUACGGUCAAGGAUAGGGUUUAUAGAAAAAAUACCCGCUGCUGCGGAUUCACGGGCUCGAAAUAGCCCGAAGAGUUCGCUGGUGGAGAGGGAAAACCCUGCUUCUGCCGAAACAGUCAGGGUGCUCAGAACGUAUCGAAGAAAGUUGGGAGCCAUUUGGGGAAAGGCAAUCCCUAGGUGGAGGAGGUAUAAAGAAGAACUUCCGGUACGGGAAAAAACAAACCACAACCUUUGAAAUAUACUUCGUACGCACAACAGUAACCCUCUCGCACCACUUCCGGAGACUCGUUGGGUCUAGGAAGAGAGAAUUCAAUUUCAUGGGGGAUGUUACAAAGGCGGCGAAGAGCGCCAAGGGAAGCAGAGGUCGACUAAGACCUGAAAUGCGGACCAAAUUUGUCUCCCCUUUGGGUGAAGACUUCAUCCCCUCUGGGAACAGGGAUUCCUUGACUGUCAUCUUCGUUUUCCGAAACAUAGACGGCUGGGGAAGACAUCUUUUACUAAGAGGUUUCUCUUUUUCUGGUUUGGUAAAAGCUUUUAGAGGUAAAUGUACGCUGCUGUAAAAGCCGUUGUUCCAUUUAACCUUAUUUAGCAGAAAACCGCCUCGAGAAUAUUGGGAAGUGGGACGAUUUUCCCCGUGGUAUUAAUAUAAAAUUAGAAAAUUAAUGAUGACGGUUGUCAGGGAUAUCAAAUCAUUUAAUUAUUCGAGAUCGGCGUAAUAGCGUAAAACAUGGAAUAAUUCCGGAAUGUUAAAGAUCUCGAGUCAUUAAUUAUAGUUUACUUAAGUCUUCCAAGCCGAGCACUCAGCUCGCAAGACUUGGGGGGCUAAAUGUUGGGGCCGGAUCCCACACAUCUUCGGUAGGAUCCACUUGGAUCUGUCCACGUCAUUAUUACAUAAUAAUCCUCUUGGAUUUCUAGAUAUUUCAUUGCGAGAAUCGAGCUCGACCUGUCGGAAGUUCGAUUCAGUUUAUUAAAGAGCUCGAUCUUUACCAGUACGGAGUUCGCUCUUAUUCAACAUAUAGUGUGCAUAAAAAAAAGGCCGAAGCGAGGAGAAUAUUGUUCGAGGUUCGCGGCAGCGUCAAGACGCAGGAGUUCGGAGUCAACAAGAAAGAGUUCGGAAGAUCCACACGAAGCCCAAGAUAAUUCAAAUUCAAGCCGUUUCGGUCAAAUUGUAACCUACAUGAUUAAUGCGGAUCAAUGCGAUUAUGAGCAGUAAAUGACCGCAUUGAUCAUGUUUUCUCUAUAAAAACAACCUCAAACGCAUGUGUUUGGGGGGAGAACAACCUUUUACCUCUUACCAUCAAGCAAUACAACAUACUCUUUCUUUUACAAUUUCGCAAGGCUUUUUACUAUUUUAUUCUUGCCAAACUCUUUCGCUUUAUUUAGUUUCUUGGUCACUUUCCUUUUCAAAUCCUUAUUUUCAUUUGUUGAUUUUAGAGUUUUUCUCCACAAAUAUACUUAAAGACAAUCGAGUGUGAAUCCUACAUCCACAAAAUACAUAUUAAUCAUACAAAAUCUAAAAUAAUACUUAAUUUAACCCUUCUUUGCUGUCAAGUUUUUAAAAGUUUGACAAUAAAAUAUCAAAUCGAAGCCCUCGUGACAAAGAGUUUAAUUCUACAUUUAGAAUUUUAAAAAUCUAAUGUAUGUGACCGUGAAAACGUUUACAAUAUACAUAUAAAGAUUAUAUUGCGUAUUAUUUUUGAUUUUGUAGGAUUAAUCUGCAUUUUAUGGAGGUGAAAGGUAAAGUCGCAAAAAUUGGCGAGUUGGAGGAUUUUUUUGCACAAAACCCUAGAAUAAAAGGAUUCUAAACGGGUCAGCUCGUUUAGGGCCGUGAGCAUAGCGGGUUUGAUCAAAAAUAAAUGGGUAGUUUGAUCUUUUUUAAAGAAAAUGAUAGCGUUUUAAACUUAAAGAUUUUGGUCAGAUUAAUCCGAGCCUCACCGCUUCUACCUCCGAUCACCGCCUUCUCUUCUGAGCCUCACUACAUGUCCUUCAAGCCUCUCCUCUUAAGUUAACGAGUUUCGCUAGAACCAAAAAUGAUAAAUCGAUGAAUGGAAUGUCAAACCAAAAAUAUAUAAACAAGGUAAUCAAAAUAGUGAUACGUGAGACGAUGUAGAGUGAUAGUUCUCGUCUAAUCCAGAUCCAGUGGAACACCCAACAAAUUUCUAAUAACAUUUAUUCAUACCGUAAAAAUUUAAGGAUAUUAUGACAAUCUAUGCUUAGAAGAAUCGUAAAUUAGUUCUCUCUCUCUUCAUCACUUUUUUACUUCUACUGUAUAUGUGUAAAAGACAAUCUUAUCCUUAGUGUAUCUCUCUCUCGUUCCUUUCUCUCUUUUGUUUCACCCAUAACCCAAAACCACAAAUAUUCGACGGAAUGAUUACAAUGGAUUCGAAAAAAAAAUCAUAGAGAGCUAAAGCUGGCUAGAGAAGCAAACUGGUGAGUUGUGUAGUUCACUUAUGACAAUGGUAAACGAAAACCAAGGGAAGGGAGGAGAAUGGGUAUCGUUGGUGGAAAACGACCACUGUCACAUUUUUUCAUGAUUCAAGUUGUGUUUCAAAAAGAUAAUGGUCGAUUUGAUUUUGUGACAGAGCCAACCGUUUGAUAGUGGUUGUUCCGACUUUGCUUCCGUGAAGGUUGAAACCAAGACACGAUGGUGGUUUCAAAUCUCGAUGUAAUAUCAAAACCCGACUGAUUUGUGCAAUGAGGAAUUUGUCAGUUGAGUUUUGAUGAGGUUUAUUGAGUAAAAGAGGUGAAUUGGAAUCGUUGGCGGCAACGACCAUUAUCACAUUCUUCUGGGUUCGGUUCUGUUAUAUGGGUAACGUACAAUAUUAAUUAGCAACGCAUACAAAGAUGGUAACAUAUAAUUUACCAGUAAUAACUAAUUAAUUACCAGUAUGAUAAUUUAUAAGUUACCUGUAAUAAUGAAAUUAUUAGAGUAAAUAUACAGGUUACAUUAUAAGUUAGCUAUUAGCCUAAUACCGUUCAUAUAAUAUAAAUGAUUUAACAUGAUAAAUUUGAGCAUAUGUUAUAUAAGUUAUAUAAGUUACACGUUAAUCCUAUACUAUUAUUUGGGGAGUAAAAUUUAUAAUUACCCUUAAUUAACCUUCCCCUUUGUAAGAAUUUACUUAAGAAUGCCAUUAGAAAUAAAAUUUUAUAGAGUAAAUUAAUUCAACUCAUUAAAGAUAAACAAGUCAAAUAUAUUUUAUGAAAUUUAAUUAAUUUAAUUAAAUUAUAAAAACGAAAAUCUAUUAUUAAUUUCUUUAAAAAGAAUGACCAAUCAAAAUGAACAUAUAAGAUUUGAUAUCUAACUUACCAGAUUAAUUUGUUAUUAAUCAUUAUACUUCACCUCUCAUCUUUAUAUGAUUCUAUUUCUAUAAAUAAAUAAAUCAUUAUAUCAUCUAUAUAAUAAAAAAAAAAGUAAUUUUUUUCCGCAUAUACCAAGAUUUGAGUUUUUAAAAACGAAUAUAAAUUAUUCAAUGUAUGAAAGAACAAAUUUAACGGGUCAAAAAUUCAUAUUUGAGUAAUAUAUUUUUUUUUUUUAAUAUCAUCAAUACUUAAUAGAUCAAAAAUCUAUGAAGUAUAAAUACUCUAAUUUGAUUUUUUGAAACAAAUAUUUAUAAUAGGCGGUGGUUGAAUAUAAUAUAUUAUAUGAUGAAAUGAGUUAUGAUCCUUAUAAAUAUUUGAAUAUUUAUAUUUAAUUUCAUACCAUUUUUUUUUAAUUCAUAAUUUUACAUACUACAAUAAAAGUUUUUAAAGAUUUUAAUUUGGAACAUUUUAAAAAAGUUUAAUUUAAUAUAUUAAAGAAUAUCAUAAAUAUUUAAUAGAUUAAAAAGAUUAAAAAAAAAUUAUAAAUACAUUAAUUUGAUUUUCUAAAAAGAUAUGUUUAAAAUAUUUAUAGUAGGCGGCGGGUUAAAUGUAAUGUAUUAUAUGGUAGAAAGUGAUGAUCCUUAUAACAGACGGCAUUCUAAGAUUUUAUGAUGAAAUGAGUUAAAUAAGGUUUGACACUUCUAAAUAUUUGAAAAUUUGAUUCGGCAAACAAUUUUGAAAAUAAUAAAUAAUAGAUUGUGCCGCAAUAUUUUUAUAGGGAUUGUAAAAUGAAAAUAUAGACUCCACACACGGAUUGAAUUUGGUAUUAUUAUAUACCAAAUAUAUGUUCAUAACAUAUUUGAUUAUGUGAAUAAUUGGUAAAUUCCGUAAUUAGUUCAAACAAAUCUCUAUUUCAACAACCAAUGAAUCAAAAUUAAAAAAAUAAUUUCCUAAAUUAAUUCAAAAUAAUAGCUAAUUUUCUUAAGUAAUUCAAAAUAAUCUACGUUUUAGAUGCGAUUCAUUUAUGAUAUUUUGAUUUUUGAUCUAACUAAAUUAUAUGCACUCUCAUUUUGUGGUUGUUAACAUAAAUUAACUCAUUGUUCAAACAAUAUUAAUUUUUUUAAAAUAAUCUUAUUUUUCGUUUUCAUAUAAUAAAAAAAAUAUCCAUAAUUGAAUACUAUAGAAAAAAGAAAAAUAUAUUCAUUCUAAUAUUAUGUAUAGGGACUGACAAAAAAAUAUUAUUUUUUCACUUACUAUUAUAAUAUAUCACAACUUUAUUCUAAAAUAUAAAAUUUAUAAAUUUUGUAAUAAAUAAAAUUCAACCAGUACUGUAGUACCAGUACGGGUGAUGAUCUAGUAUAAAUAUUAUCCAUGUAUCGAAUAUUUUACCAUAUUCAUACAAAUAUUAUUUAGAUAUUUAAUAUGUUAACAAGUUAUCAUUCUACAUAACAUGUUGUUAUAAUUAUUAUCAUGUUAAUCAUGUAAGAGAAAGACUAAUCCAUUUUUAUUGAACUGAUAUAUACAUAAAUGAAAAUAUUGAUUCACAAUUUUUAAUUGAUAAACAUGCAUUUAACACAUAAUAUGUAAAUUUCUCGCGAUAUUAUAUUAUGUGGUAUGUUAAACAAAUAGUUAUACACUAAAAUCACAAAAAAAUCUACUAUAUCGUCGAUCUCUGAUGAACAGUGAUAUCGACCGGUUAUGAAGAGUGUUGCCGGAAAAGAGUUGUUCAUAUCAAUGAUAUUUUUUGUAAUUAAACUAAAUGAAAAGGAGAUAUAUUGUGAAAAAUGUCAUUUAAAUCAUCAGUGGUCUAUUUUCGUUGAUUUAAAGCAUGAACUAUGCACCUGGUGAUUAAAUGCUUAAUUUUAUGUCUACUUUCAAUUUAAUCAUGAAUUUUCGUUGACAAAAGCCAAUUGAAGCACAAAAAAUCGAAAUCGAAAAAAAGAAAUCUUGAGAAACUAAGAUUAAGGCCAUGAAUGGAUGCUCUUUUUUUAAUUUGGUUUCUAGAUUUUGUUUUUAGUUUUUGGAUUUUAGAUUUUAGUUUUAGAUUUUGUAAUUGGAUUUUUGUUUUCGAAACCCAAAAAAAAUGGUUUUUAGUUUUUGAGAAAAAUAACGUAUAGAGAGUAAAAACUAGAUUCCCUUAAUUAUAGGAGAACUAAAAAUCUAAAAUCUUGAAUGGAAAAUCAUAACAAAAAAGUUUUUCUAAAUUAUAGGGAAACCAAAAUUUGAAAAACUUGAUUGAUGCGAAAUAAGUUUUUAACUUUGAAGUUCUAAUUUUGAUAUCAAUUUUCUUCUUUCGAUUCAGAUUUUGUGCCUCAAUUGGCUUUGUCAACGAGAAUUCGUGAUUAAAUUGAAAGUCAACAUAAAAUUGAACAUUUUAAUCAUUAGGUAUAGAAUUCAUGCUUUAAAUCAACGAAAAUGAACAACUGAUGAUUUAAAUGAUAUUUUUCCCGAUAUUUAUUAUGUUUUUCGGGUUUUUUUCCUUCUUACUUAAUUUUCAAUUUAUUAGUGUUAUAAAACUAAUAAAAUAUAUAAUCGUUGUUCCAGCGGACUCCUCCGCAAAAUAAAUAAUCUUGGACACAUAUUUUCAAAUGAAAAAAAUAGUAUAAAUUACACCAAAUAUUUUUCGAUUUCCAUUAAAAAGACACAAAGAAUUUCGAUUUCCAUUAAAAUACAUAAAAAUUCAAUUUCCGAUUAAUACACCAUCAGUCCAUCACUAUGUGUAUAUAGAAUUUUUAUCACUUAUGCCACUUUUCCUAAAAAACUAAUCGUUUAUGCCUCUUCAUGUUUAUAAUUUUAUUUUUCAUUUUCUUUUAAAUCGAAAUUAAUAGAAAAAGUCUAAAAACCCUUACCCUAAUCUAAUAUUUACGUAUCACUGCCACAACUAAACUACAAAAACAUAACUGCCUCAUUUUCUUUAUCACGCCUCCUUCUUCUUCUUCUUUUUCUCUCCAGAUUUUUUUCUCUUUUCUCUCUAUCUCUUCUUCUCCAUGGAUCUCUAUUCUUCUUAUCUCUUCAUCAUCAUCAAAACUCUAGAUUUCUUAUUCUCCAUUGAUUUCUUUUUGCGUUUCUCAUCAACCAUUAUAAACCCUAGAUCUCUUUUUCUCCAUGGAUCUUUCUUCCCUCUCUUCGAUCUUCUCAUUCUAGUUCCAUAGAUCUCUUUUUCUCAAUGGAUCUUUCUUCCCUCUCUUCGAUCUUCUCAUUCUAGAUCCAUGGAUCUUCGUUUUUUUUCACAGAUCUGAGAUUAACAACAAUCCCGAUCUAGAUUUCUCCAAAUUGGCUUUGUAGUGCGAAGAAGAAUCGGCGGUGGAGGAGAAUCGGCGGUGGAAGAGAAUCGGCGGCGGUGGACAAUGAACAAAGCAAGAAGAGACGAUGAUGGCGCUAGGGUUUAUAAUUACAAAUUGCUUAAAUUUUACCAUUUGUACCAGUUGUCCCCAUUUAUGUAUUAGUUGUACCAGUUGUCUAGUUGUCCCUAUUUAUGUAUCAGUUUUACCAGUUGUCUAGUUGUCCCUAUUCAUAUGUUAGUUGUACUAAUUGUUUCAAUUGUACUAUUAUAUUUCAGUUGUACCAUUUGUACCAAUUAUUCCUAUUUAUAUAUAGUUGUACCAGUUGUACUAUUAUAUUGCAGUUGUACCAUUUGGACCAGUUAUCAUACAAUCUCUCAUUUGUACCAGUUGUAUUAUUAUUUCUUAGUUGUACCAAGUUGUACCGAGUUGUACUAUUCCGUACCAAUUCGCCCUAAUUUCAUUAAGGGUAAUUUGGGGAUAUCACAUUUAUGGUGGCACUCAGAUUAUAAGGUGGCACGCCAGAUUAAUUUUUUUCAAAUAGUGGCAUAUGUGGCUCGGACUCGUGUAUAUAGGCAUGGCCAUUA